ensembl:lncRNA
UUUGCUCCUGGGCUGAAAUGAGAAAGAAGCCCAUUCGGUGGCACUGGGACGGGAAAAUGGAGAAAAAUUAUUCCUCUACUAACAUCCUAGUUUUCUAUGCAAGGCUUGGCGUUGAUAUGCAGAUUUUGCAGUUGGAUGACAUUUAAAAGUAGUUAAUUGUGCAAAUCUUUGUUUUAGACUGGAAAGGUCGUGGAUUGUGAGAGUCUUUCAUCAUGAACUAACCGCCCCUCAUCAGCACAGCUGCAGAGAAGAGAGCAGGGUGGGGUUUGUUGGUUUCCGCGCUGGUCGUCUCGUCAAGUCGCCCAUCGCUUUCCAAGGUGGUUCAUGAAUAUUGAUACGCACAAACUGUUUGGAAAAUGAAAAUGAAAUCUGCAGCCCUUCAGAUGACUUGGCUCUCUGUUUUCACCAAAGAACAUAAUUCGGUACGAAAAUGCUUCAUUGUUUUCUUUUCUCAUAUUCCUAAAUGUCUGAAAUAUCAAAUUAAGCAUGUUGCUUCUUGAGGGACAAUUAGUUUUAUUGCGAAGCAAUUCCUCCUCCUAUUACACCACAACUUAACAACUCUCUAUUUCUCUCCCAUACAAUUUGCUUGGGUUUGGCUUUCAUAAAUUCUCUAUUGCAAUUUUCAGGGUAAACCUACAGAGUAAAAACAAUCCUUAACUCUGGAAGCUAUAAAAUGAUGCUAAAUGGAUUCAUUGCAUGAAAUGCUUUGUCCACAUUUUUGGGAUAUUACCAUCUAACAUGCUGCACUGUUGAAAACGCACAAUGAAUUAAAAAUACAGCAGGUGCACAGAUUUUUCACCUGGUUUCACCUGAAUAGCACAAAUGGAUACGUAAUUGCUCCAAUUUCAUCACUUCCCUUCGCCGGCUGACAUUAAAGGGAGCGCUUUGAGAGAGCGGAAUAAAGAUGAACACAUCCAACGGGGGACUUGAGCACAGCAUAAAUCUGAUCAUGCUUAUUUCUAUUUGUCUUUCAGAUUACAUUUUUAAAAAAAAAUCUCUCUUUGAUUUAGCUACCAUUAGGGUUCCUCCAAGAAUCCGCUGGUCUUGUUUGCUCAGUGAAAUAGCUCGGUGCACAUUUAAUCAACGCCCGAUUCUCCAGCCGCUCUUAGUUUUCGCCUCUGGAGCACGACAUCACAUCCUCCCCUGCUUCCCAGUCAAUAAAAACAAAAACAAAAAAGCCCAGAACAACUCCAAAGCUGCAGAUGGGCAGAUUCAGACCGACCAGAUUCAGGGUCCCCCGGCCAACUGCUCUGACAUGUCCAACACGGCGGUAUGCCUCGUCACUCCCCACCCCUCCACCCUAACAAAGGUUGGAUCCGACUCCCCUCUGGAGCUCCGGGCCCCAAGCGGCUUGCAGAGACCAGAGGCGUGACGGAGCCCCGGUCUGAAGGCCAAGAGCGCGGCCUGGGACCUCCUUUCAAAGCGCCCCCCCCCCUCCUCCUUCCUGGAAACCGGUGUCCAUUUAAUCCCCCUUCAAUUCCAUCUCUUACCGCCCAAACCCUCCAAUCAUCUCCUCCUGCUGCUCCCCGAACAGCGACACACACACACACACACACACACACACACACACACACACACAUUCCCCUUUGCAUUUUCUUCACUCAUCCCUCCCCCUUUUCCAUCUCCAAAUCUCACACUUGGUACUCGCCAUCACUUGGCCCCUCACCGCCCCAAACCGCCCAGCCCCUCCACCCUUCCAGGGGUGUGUAUUUCACGCCCUGGUGGCUGGACAGGCUCCGGGUGAUUUCCCGAGGUGGGGGGCUGAAGGUCGGGCAGGAACCCGUGGUGUGGAGUGAUGUCACAGCAGGGUCUAGGUUUUUGUCUGACUGUGUGUGUGUGUGUCUCUGCCUAUCUUCUGUGUCUGCAUGUGUAGGAGUAUAUAGUCUGAACUCCCUUCAAAGGGCCAGCUGUACAAAUGCUGCUCUGAAUGAGGGAGGUGUUGAAUUAACAAGCCAUACGAGGCGGCCUAUUCUCCUGCGUGGCUCCGCACACCGACCUGGCAAUAAUGAGGCAGAGACACAUUACAACGCUGCUUUAUGGGUUAUGUUCUGAAAAUUACUAGACCAAAGGGGCUAAUGUACUCCUUCCCCAAAGCCAGAUGAAAUGACAGCGCAGGGAGCCAACCGGGCGUAAUGAGAAUAUUGUGUUUUGAGUGAACCAAAAUGGGGAGAAUUUGCACAGGAUGUGGGCCAAGGCGACGGUCCCCGCUGUGCUCUUUAGACGGUGUUGGAGGAUCUUUUUCAAACCAUAUUAUUUAUUUGCCUCUAUUUACUUUGGCUAGUUUAACCCUCCGGACUGCUUUCUCAGUAACGCUCCACUUCAGCCACCUUCGGCUACACGUUCGCACCUCAGGGAGCAACGAGCGCUCCUGCUUGUACGGCCAGGUGUUAAUUGCCUUGCUCAGGGUCACUUCCACAAAAAGUUACUUGGGAAUGCGCUGGCUUUUUUUUCCUCCUUUCGCACGGCCAUCGCAUUCGAGGGAAACCGCCUCGCAGGGGAAAGACGCGGUUCUCUCGAGCUGCCAUUCGUGGUUGGAGCAGAAAUAGAUAGAGAGCAUUCUUCAACACGAUGGAGCUUUUCCUCCCCGGGUGACCUGCUCACUCCGCUCAAUAACAAUGUCAUGAGUGCAGACUCGGAGCUGUAUGUGGCCCCGUGUCCUCGGUGCAAUUAGCUGAACGCGUGCACGUCCACACCGUGGCUGCUACGUGACGGCCGAGCUCGCCUCUCCGACUCUCCUUUGUUGCUGUUCUGUGGUGUAGCCUGAAAUGACUUCAUCAAAGGGAAGGAUUCAUAUCGCAAAACCAAACAUGUUGAACAAUGCACUGGCACCGGCAUCAUCGCCAGACUGCAAGUGCAUGCGUGUGAGCUCCAGUUGCUGUGCCUAUACGGGCGACUCCCACCAUUGUAACGCCACCAAAAACAUGCAACACCGUUAUUCAGGAAAUAAAUUCCUGUGCUUCUUAAACUGACUUCUCAGUGUUCUUUUUGGUUUGUUUUAGGAAGAUCUUGCUGUUUUUAGUAAAUGGAGAAGGGACCAAGUUGAGAAAGUGUUUACCUGGUUCUUUUGAAUGCUUUUUUUCCUCCUCUAAAAUAGUUUUUAUUUAUUUUAUGUGAGAGUCAGAGAUUCCAACAAAAAUAUUUUAUAAAAUCAGCCGGGUCUUUUGCAACGAGAAAAAUCACAAUACUUUAAUCUCGCGUCUCAUUCACAGUGGAUAAAGGUUUGAAUUCCCCCUCCGAACCACGAAGAGAAAUAAACGUGUAAUAAAAACAAGCAGAGCAAAAGGCAGCCUCUUCCAAAUCCUUCUCAGCCAACUGCGAUAAGAUACGCCCCGCUGGGUCACGACAAGGUGAAAAAGAAAUAAUAGCUGAGUCAGUGAAAUAUCACCUGUAUCUGAUUGGCCCGGUGGCUUUGUUUGGGAGCCAAGUCAAUGUUUCCAUGGAAUGUUUGUUCUGUGCUCUCGUGAUGGACCAUAAAAGAGGAUGAACCCAUCCUGCUGUUUUUGACAAGUCCCCCCCCAAUCUCCCUAAGCCCCCCCCCAACACACACACACACACACACAAACACACACUUUGCAUCUCUUCUCUCUUUCAUCUCUCUGGCUUGUCCUCAAGUGACUCUUCCCCUAAGCGAUAUGUGGAUUGUUCCGUCCUCUUCUUGCCCGUAUAUCAAGGAGGAGGCAGGUGUGGUCUGUUCAGACUUUGUCAUGUAGAUCAUCCAGAUUCUCUUUCUCUAACCGGGAGGAUCCGGGUCGGUUGUAGCUGGGACGGCUGCUUGUCUGCACAGGAGGUGAUUUAACAUUCCUCUGCAGGCACUCAGCUGACCGAACCCGAGAGGAGGAAUGGGGAGACCGACAGGAGGAAUCCUGCUGCCCUCGUUGCGUUAGCGAAACAACAACCAACGGGACACAUGUUGCAUGUGUGAUUGUGUGUGAUUAGACAGCUGUGUGUUGGCUUACACGCGUGUGUGUCUGCGUGGGGUUACAGUGUACAAGCUCCUGCACACCGGGAAGAGAAAUACAUCCCGAAUGUGAGCAAAAUGAUUUGUUCAUGUGUGGAGCAACAGCUUCAUCGUCCUGCAUUCAGAAGGGAAAGGGAAGUAAUUAAACACAGUCUCUCAAAAUAUUUAAAUUCAUAUUUUCACUGGCGACUGAUGUAUGAACACAAUUUCAUAGUUGUUUCUCUAAGUGACUGUGAAAUGACUUUGGCUAGUUGUACAAAAUCAGCAUCUUCAUAGAAACUUAAAGGCUGGAAUCAUUUCAUUUACUAUAAACUUCCCCAAAUGACUACAGCUUGUGCUAAGAGAAGAAAUCAAGUCAGCCACGUUAUAUUAAGGAAGUAAUUGAAAUGAAUCUUUGACUUUCUAAUCGACUCUCAGUCAAAACAGAGUCAGGUCUGCAGAAUGAGAUGUUUAAAUAAAGGAUUGUUUCCUCCUCUACUUGGGGAGUCUUUCGCUCUCGCAGAUUAGAGAUGUGACUUCAUGCAAAAACAGCUGCUAGGCAUGAAUAUUUAACUGUGUUGUCCCCGUAGUAAAAACUCUUUGAAUGGAUUGUGCGUCUCACGCACGCAUUCGUCCUAAAACUGUCGAUUCUAGAAAAUAUUGACAAACAUACAUCUGGCGGCAGAUAAACUGCUGGUAACCGAAGUUAGUUAGCUAAAUAUUGCAAAUUCUGACUCUUUUCCCCCGAAAAAUCCAAAAACUGCCAGAAUAAAAUGAGCGGUCAGCGCCUGGGCUUUUGUGAACACACUAAACAGGACUCCAUUCGUCGGCCCGGCGGCUCAAUAACAUCAAUAGUCCCGUGGCCAGCGGUUAAUCCAGCUACUUAGAGGUCCGCAGAGCCACACCUCCCGCCUGAUCACAGCAGAUGUGUCCGAUUCUCAGCCGCCCCGGUGCGUCCACUUGAUUCUAAUCACCGUCUCGUUCUGUCCCCAAUACCUCAUCACCCAGACCUCUUCAAUAUGGGCCUGAUGGCGCCGAGCGGGACAGAUAAUCAGGCCGGGAGACUCUGUGUGUAGCGUAGUGAUUGCGACACCAUGCAAAGAUCCCCUUCAUUCAGGAUCUUCAAGAGCAAUGUUUUUCUCUAUGAGAACAAUACAAAUUCACAGGGAGAGGCUCAACAAGGAAAAGCCUCCUGACUUCGGUCCGUGUUUUUCUUUGCUUUCUGUGAUCUCACACGCUGCUCCACGAUCUGUUAUUCUUGUGCUCUGUGAUGCUCUGUCUCUUCUAUAUUACUCCCUGUAGACUCCCCCUCUACUCUGAUCAGGGAUCAGCAAGCUUUAGCAGUGAAGAGUGUCCCAAGUGUUUCUGUCAGUGGGUCUCUCUGCGGAGGAGGAUUCUCUCCCACGAGAUCCGUGUCCUUAAACGCAUCCGUCGGUUCUUUUUGAUGCCAUUGAUUUUCCCGCGUCUGAAGGCUUUCAGCCGCUGCUCCCCCUUUUUCUCUCAAUGAGCGGGGGAGCGGGAGAGAAAAGGAGGAUUAAAAAGAAAACAUGCUGUGGCUAAUUCACAAACAUGGAAAGUGACCCUUCAUGUGUACAUGUGUGAGCCCUCAUCUAUCUACGUCCAGGCUUUGUCCCUCUGACCCAAGUCCUCAUCGCCUUCAGGGCCGCGAGGUAAUAAACCCCCCGACCGGGCCUGACCUCUCGCACAAGAAGCUCAGAGGAAAAAAAACGCAGCGCUCUCUUGUCCGAUAUGACAGGAAUCCCUUUUUCUCUGCCUUCCAUCUCUUGAUGUAGAGAAAAGCGCAUUGACUUUGAAGGUUGGCUACAGAAACAUCACAAGCUCAAAGCUUGUUCCGAGGUAAAGGAGCGGAUCAAUACUUUUCAUAUUCCGCUGCGGUGGAGUGCUAUCGACCCGGGGGCCUUCGCAUGGCCGCGCCGCCCCACAACCAGCAAGGCGCGUUGGUCCCAAACACGCUGCCGUAAUCAGAGAAAGACACUCUUGUGUCUGACAGGUCUCCCCGUCCUCCGCAGCCUUCCUCUCUCCUCGUAGCUCCUUCAGGAUUGAUGUAUCAGGAAAGUGGUUCUAUCCCCAGCAUAAGAGUCUAAAGAGAAACUGUCAGAACCAAAGUGACGGAGCCAGAUCGAGAUGCUAGGCCGAGUGCAUGUGUCGUCACCAGACAGGGUGACUCUGAAGAGGCUGUUUGACGGCGUCGCCAGUGAAGCCGGUGGCAAAAAAACAAAAACAAGCACUCCCACAGUUUAGAAGUGAUGCUUUUCCUCCCGGCUUCUUCCGUAAGAGGCCUGUCCCGUGAACAUUUCAUUGUUUGAACUUCCCCCGAGUGCAACUCUCGGGCUCAAAUUCAAAUGUACACACUUCAGUGAAUUGCUCGCAAUCUUGGGAUCCGUCAUCGCUGCCCUUCACGCCGUAAUCCAGAAACAGUCGGAGGCCUGUGUGUUGAUGGCGAGCCUGCGGCCCAAUCACAUUCAUUCCACCUAAUGUGGUUGCACCGACCCUGCCGCCGCGGACCCCCUGCUGUCAACCUGAUUUAACCGGCGUAUCUGCUGCACCUGUCUUUACCCGUGAAAGACUCAACACUGUCAUUGGCAGAAAUGGCAGAUCAUGAUCAUCAUCACGCUCAUCACCGCCACCAUCGCUCUCUCGCUAUCAUCGUGUUCAUCUUGACUAUCACCGUGAUUUUACAGAGCGAGCAGUGGGUAUCGCUGUCAGGAUGACACUUUGGGAUGUGAAGGUGGAGGUUUCUCUCUGCAGGCGGCCGCAACCUGCGAGGUUUGGUUUGUGACCCCGCAGAGAAGCACAGAUGGGAUUUAUAUUUCUUCAGCAAAGGCAAACUGUUGUCUUGUGGGAGAGGAUGACAAAAAAAAAGAGACUUGUCCAGGAUGCAACUGACAUCUUGCAACCAAGGUGGCAAACUAUUACUCCUAUCAACCCUGACAAAGGUAGCACUGACCUAAUCCAUUCCUUUCUUCCUUUCACAAUAAAAGCUCUGAAUCUAGACAUUGAAGAGAUGUGUCCACUUCAUAGAGAAAUAGGAAAAAGGCCAUAAUAGUGAAAGUUUUAUCUUUGUCUUUUCAUCUUGUAAAAUGUUUUUGUGUGUACAGUGGCGCCUACACGGUGCUUUUGUAUCACAUCCAUGCUUCAUUCAUCAUUUCCUCUUUUUCAUGCAGUUUUUGUCCGUUUUCAUGUAUUUUUAUUUUUUUUAAUAGGUUAAAAUUAAUUCAGGGAGUGCAUUUAGUGACAGUGUGGGCUCCUUUGUAGCUCUGAAGGCUUGAUGGAGUAGAGGUAGUCGGAGGUUAGCGAGAGCUCAAUUUAACAAGCCUGUAAAAUCUUUAUAACACUACACUCAUUUGGCAGGAGCUGGUGUCUAAAUGGAACCAAAUGCAUUCAAAUUAUAUUGGAACAAGAGCUAAAUCAAAACAUGGAAGUGGAUCCCUCCUAAAAGCACGGCCAAUGCUGCAUUUCAAGUGGCUGUUGUUGUUUUUUGUUUUUUUUCUUGUUUGUUGGGGGAUUUGUAUUUAAUCCAGAGAAGUAAUUGACAUCUUGUUUUGCAAAACCUCAUUUCAACAAACGCAUUCUCUAUGUUCUGUCUGUGUUUCCAAUUAUAGAGCUUCUUCCAUAGACACGCUAUAAGUACUGUAUGAGAACACAUGGUUCACUGUGGAAGGCUUCCAUUGCAUAUACAGCGCACAUGUACAGCAGGUAUAGUCGCACAAAUAUAAAACAGUCAGCAGUCAAAAAUGAGGGGUGAAAAUUUGUCCGGUGCCACUUACGCUCGACAGGCACCCUAAAGGUCACAAAGGUCGAGCCAGAACCAACAACGGGAAUAUCGUGUACUCAUUGUACUCGAACAUAUGAAUGCUUAUGAAGCCAUAUGAAAACACUCCAAACACACUACAACAAGUUAGGAAAUAUGUGUGCAAAUCAGUCCUGAUAAUUUGCUCACAGUGAUGUCUGUAUCUUUUCUCUCAAACCUUCUCUUAAGCCAAAGCCAGAGCUGAAUACCCACCAAGCAGCCAGCAUUUAAACCAUAAAUGACCGUUACCUUUGAAUGAAAUUAAUCCGGGUUCUUUCUCGAGAUAUUAGCAUCGGGCAUCGUAUGCACAUCACAAGCAACUUCCGCGCAGGUUUUAGGGGAUGAGGGUGAGGGGGGGGGGUUCUGCUGUAAUCUUGCCCUGCUGUCAUGACAGCAAGAGUGUUUGGCCGAGAUAUGACGAAACUAAACUAGACCCAUGCCCAGGCCGUCCCUUCAUGUGCAAUAUUUUGUCCUGCGUGAGCAGAGACAUAUAUUUGGUGUGAGUGGAGGAAUGUGGCUGCUUGCCACAGGCAUGCUGGUGUAUGAGGGCUCUAGGCUGCGUAUGUGAUAGAGAAACGCCCGCUGUCUCCAGUCUUUGUGCAACGCUAACUGGCUGCCGGCUGUGGCCUUUAUGUUCACCGUCACGAUUGAGCUUUUUGUUUUCAUGUUCUAGGAUUUUUUUUUUACUGUGAGCACCACAGAGAGUUUAAAGCGAGGGACAUUUACAUUCCCCAGUCUCAGGAGCUUAUGAGUGUGAAGUGCAUCACAUGUAUUCUGGCUCCUACGGAGGAUCGUGCCUUCAUCUAGAAGAUAAAGGGUGUGUGUCAACAUCGCUGCUCUUUCUGAAGAUAAUGGUGAAAAAGAAAGUACCUUUACUGGACAUGCGUCCCCCUAUCGAUUACCUUAAUACAUUUGUGGUUACGUUUCUUGUAUAUGGUGUGUGCUUUGUGAAUCAUUUCUGACUCUACAAAGUCACACAGCAUACAAACAAAGGAAACUACGGUAUUUGGAUGUAUUUUAAUGGCUCAGUCAAUGGCAUAUUGAAUAAACUAUGUGAGCAGCAUGUACCGCAGGCAAAUACAUUUUCUCAUUAUAUUUUUUCCAGUACUUGUAGCUCUCCCACUAUACAUAUUUCUGCUUUAAAAUUCUGGCCUGUCGACAUUGAUCACAUGAGACCGUUAUGGCGGUCUGGAGAGAAAGGUUAGAGUGAGCCUGGAUGGAGGGAGUAAGGCCAACUGGAGAACCUUCUGGGAAAGAACUCUUGCUCGUUGACUAUUUAAAUAGACUUGACUUGACAAGUAUCUCACGACGAUGGUAUUCAAAGAUAAGUGGUGACUUCCUGCAUUUAUUUUUUGGAGUCACGAGCUUGCCAGGGCAGCCAUGGGGUUGAUUAUCUUUCAGCUCCAUGGCCACGCUCCAUGCGGGAAACAUCACUGUGUCUCUUCUUUGUGUGGCGUUGCGAGGCAGGCAGGAUCCUGGCGCGGCCUGUAGAUUUCCACUGUGAGCUUUUUAUGGUCAGCUUGAAUGGUGCACUGAUGAAAAAUGGAGAUCACUUCAGGCCCCACUGUUCUUCUCAGAUUUUACUCUUGGCAAUCACAAUUAUUACUUUUUAAAAAAAAUGUCUUUAAUUUGACCCAGACUGAUUUUUGCACCAAUUUCUAUGCUAAUCUGAAAAAGCAGGUCUCUUUUUUUUUUAUGAUACAAAAGUAACCUGUUCAUUUCAAGCAUAAUUUUAUUCAGUCAGUCUUAUAGAGGCACGGAGCUCUGAUUUCUUACAUACCUGUUUUUGUUUUUUUGAUCAGAUGUACCUCAAGCACGUUUUAAAAUGAAACUUUGGCAUUUCCCCGUACCGUCCUGCAACUUAUCAGUCCAAUAUUGCAUUUACUGUUGUGACCUUCGCUGCGUCUGCCUGUGCUACAGACCUCUCUCGUGUGUUUGCAGAGGCUUUCGGUCUCUCCUCUGAGAUGCAAGGAGAGCACAAAAACAUGUCUAUGAUUGAACAUUCGUCCUCGUACGUACACAUUGUGGUGCACACCGAAAGACGGGGACGUAAAGCGAUGACCUUCCUCAGGCUAGAUCAUUAAUGUAGCCUCACACGGCCAAUGCUCAGCACACGCCCACAAAUAAUUGACUAUGCACGUCUGGUGGACUUUCAUCACCUGCCAAAGGACCGAAAGUUUGUACUUGUUCUGCGGCUCUUAUCCUUCCCUGGAAUCCCAGUCAAUAUGUUUGUUUUCGGAGAAUGUGUGGGAGACGGGUAGAGUGUUUGAUUAAAAGGCUGUAUUGACAGAUUUGAGUCAACAGGAACAAAUCUCCAUCGCACGGCUCAAUAUGAAGGCUAUCAAACUUAGAGGAGGGAGUAAGCAUGUGUCUGUCGGGUACAGCACCAGUGUUUUAGUGGGUGUGUGGUUUGAUAUAUGUUGGUAAGCAGAGGAGUAUUUGUGUCAUACUGUGUCUCUGCCUGCAGUGAAAGUCAAUACUGUCCUGUGGUUAAAUCAUUUUACUCAGUGGAGAGUAUUGGAGGAAACACCAAAGCUGCAGUUAAGACUUUAACUCCCGGACAAGACCUCACAUGUGACCUGAGACUGGUGAGGAACUCGGAGAGAACGCAUGGAGACAACGAUUGCUGGAGAUUUCAGGCAGUUUAAACCAAAAGCUUGAUUGGCCAGCAACCUGCAUAAACAUGAAAGCAUCAUCCGUGUGUGUACGCAGGAAUCAGGGGCUUAAUUUGUGAGUUUCUCAAAGAGACAGAUGCUUAAACGGCUGAAUUUCUAGGGUGCUACGUCACCAAAGACUGCUGAAGGACCGUUCCAAAUCUGAGGAUACUUUCAAUUUUACCGCAGUCCAAUUCGUUGGUUAAGAGGAUUUUGAAAGCAUUUCCUGUCCCCCGUAUUAGAAACAAGUGAAAUAUGCUGCUAAACGUUAUUUCAAUCCAGUGUCCAUAAUUUGUUUCUGAACAAAUCUUGGGCACGACAUCAAUCUAGUUGUUGAAUCUUUCCUGAUAUUAAAAAAAAUGUUUUUCCACGUGUAUGGUUGCCAAGCAACUCAGUAUAUGUCUAAUUGAGAAACUACCCAGUUCUUUAGGUUGAGUGGAAACACCAACAUGGGUGCACGGAAAAAACAUUCAUACUAAUUGCAUAGAAAGGGACUAAAAUUGUUCAUGUUUGUAAAAAUAUCUUUUGGUGAUCUUAUCUUUGGGCGUAGUGUGGCUGCUCUGCAUUAAUAACAAUGUUUUUAGUUCUGUGGGUAGUUGUUUUACACGCGCUCUAGAGACUCCUGUGUGUGUGUGUGUGUGUGUGUGGUAAAAGAGAGAUGUGAUUCAAUCUUGACAGGUGAAGGCAGUUAAGCAGGAGAGAAAAAGUGUCUUACCGGGCAGGGCAAUGUGAAAGUGUGGACAAAGAGAACUGAAAAUGUCACAGUGAAGAAGAAAGACUGUUUAGGCAUUGACGGAUGAGAAGAGAAAUGCAAUCUGGGCCCAAACAGAGGUGUAACAGACCAAUUUGUUUGUGGUGUAAUGGAGAGAAGAUGGGUUGGCCUGGGUGAUAAGUUGGCCAGGUCUGGGCCGGGCUGCACUGGGAGGAUAAGAGGGGUUCUGAGGUCUGUGUGAGAAACAUUCAGAUAGAAGAAUAUCUGGUGCAGCUGGGAAAGAAAGGUGAAGCCAACAGGCACGGCAGGAAUACAAAGGCCUAUGGAUGUGAUAUUUCAGCACUAUAAAGCAGGUAACUUUUUUACAGGGCUGUCUUUAAGUCUUUGGGGGAAGUCCAAGUCCAAAGAAUUCAAUACGAGUCUUAUGGUCUCAAGGUCCCCCGAACCUCAAUGUGGCAACCGUGCCCUCCAUCCACAAAGAUAUAUAGAAAUAAUGGUUUGGUGCAUUGCCAAUAACAUGCAAAGGCAGACAAAGCAGCCUUGCAGAAAGGACUCUGGCUACUGAGAUAGCUUUGGGAUGGGGAAUAUCAGCUAGCCGUGCGAUAACAACGGACUUUUGAGACCUUGACCUUCAGACCUAGUAACAAUAGAAAGUGGCAUAGCAAAAUUGAUUAAUGUAUUUGGCGCUAUAAGCUUUGUUGUGGAACUGAUUUUGCUGCAUUGCUAACUGCUAAACAAAAAGGUGCCGUCUAAGUAGGAAACGCUGGUCAAUAGAAACGGCUCCCCAAGCUUCCCAUUUCUCGUUACCGUGCAGUUUACUCGCCUCUGGCUUGAUGAUUGAACACAGUUUCAUUCAUUGAAACGUUUUAUUGAGGAGGGAAAAUAAGGUCUCUGAGCUAGUGAGCUACUAUAACGGCCCAUUGUCACUCUGCAAGCUCGUUAGCUUGACUGCUAAUCGGACCACCAUUCCUCCUUUUAGCAGUCAAGAGAGAAGGUUCAAUAGGCAUUUUGGACUCGUUGGCCCUUUGUUUUCGCAAAAAAAGAAUUUGCGCUGAGAAAGCCCACUGAUCAAUAUUGCUGUUUUCAAUUAUCACAAGCCGCAUCACAUGCUUAUCCUGGUCAGAUGCAUUUUAUCUGAGUAGACAGCAUGGUUCCAUUACACAGGCAGUCUGGCCUGAAAAUGCCUGGGUAAAUAGUAAAUGCAUCCCGCUCUGACAUGCGGAUUAGCAGAACCAGGGAUUAAACCGCCAUCGGUCGACAUUUGACCGAUGGCGGUUUGCUUUUCAGUUAUAACGCGAGUUGUGUGCGUACACGCCAAGUACCACAUAGUCUAAUAAACCAUAUAUUUAAGAGAAGUCAGACACUUCGAGCCGUUGGACAUAUCUCCAAAAAUCUUUCCAAAGAAAGGUGAACUGUCCUUUUACAUUUAUUCUGCAUUUCCCAUUUGUCGUUGUUCUUUUGAUGUGUGACUCACAUUGAUGUGAUUAUGCAUGAAUUCAGCUCAUAUCCAAUUUAAACUGUUGAACUGAAAACAAAAUACAUUUUGUGGCAAAGAGAUAAUUUUCUUUGCUGGAAAACUGACUGAAAGCACAGAAUAAACCGAAGCAACAUUUCUUUUAUAUUUUGUACUGCUGCAGGCUUUUCCCGCAGUACCGCCAUGGGCACACCAUGUUUGCAGCUGGUGUGGCCGGGAAGAGUAGCAGAAGAGAAGGAGCCAAGGGUCAGGCCGAGAGGUCAGGAGGAUGAGGGGAAGAGGAAGGCAGGGGAAGAGAAAAGUGAUAUGGGAGGAAGGGACCUGGAGCACUGACACAUUGAGAUGGAGAGGAGAAAGUGAAGGGAGGAUGAGGGCAGAAAGGUGACACGCUCAAACAGAGGGAGGGAGGGAAGGAAGGAGGGAAAGAUGGAUAAAUGGACGAGGGGAGUAAGGGAUGCUGCUGAUCCACCGGUUUGACCUUGCAGACAGUCUGCGUCCCAACUCGGGUGUGUACAUGCGAGACCGCUCACAUGUACACACAUUCUCCCGCACGAGCGAGCUUUGCUUUAUUUGCCAAGCGGGGUCGGGUCAGCACGGACGCACACAGACACAAGCCUAUCUGGUGCACAGCGAGAAAUCUCUCGUCUUUCUAAUCUCAACUGCAAUCAACAAAUAGAUGAGCAAACAUCCUGUUUGCAGGAUGUUUGGUCGAAGCGUAUAUGAAAGGGUUUAACAACGAAUCUCCUGUAAAACUACCACUCUCCAUGAUUGGCUGUAAGAGAUAGAAAAAAAAAUCUUCAUUGCUGGUCUGACUUCUCUGGCGACUCAUGCCUUUCAGGGAUCAUGGCAUUUCGAAUUUCCUAGUAUAUAUAUUUUAUUUUUCACGUUUCAAUUCCUUGCCUUGAGUUUUGAGGAGCAACUGUGCACCUCGUCAGACUGGAGCUACAGCUCACCGUCUAAAAAAUUCAUUUUUCUUUGUUUGUCCGGCAGUGCUUCUGCAUUCUUGGUGCAAAGGCAACAUUUAUACUUUUUCCACAUGGAUCAAUGCAAUCCCACCUAAAACGUUAUGGGUAUGUUUGAACUCUAAUAUCAAUAACGCCAAUAACUCUGUAACUUUCGGGAUGUAGACCUUGAGACUGGGCGGAUAGCUUUUCCAAGUGAUUUUCAGCAAUAACAAUACAUUCAUUCUGAAUAUGUCCACAUUAUCAAAUCCACAGUACAGAUAUAUUUACUAUAUUUGAAUUGCAGCUAAUGUAAUGACUUCUGCAUCUGUAUGUCUCUACGCUCUCAGGUUUCAGGUAGAGUCUCGCUUUAAAGCCCAACAGGAAAUAUUUGCCAGGGUUAAAUAAUCAUUGUAUCACUUACAAACAUCACUGCCUUUGUCCAAACGUGUAAUUAUUCUGGAGAAGUUCACCCUGUAAAAUCACCUUUGAUAAAUUAAAAGAUUAGAUUCAGAAAUGGUUGAGUUAAUGUUGGACUAAUAUUAUUUGUGAUAAUGAUGAUGAAAUAAUAAUAAAAACAUGGUGAUGAAGUCUUGUCUGUACCAAACUUGCAUGAAGUAAAUCUUAUGAUGCAUUUUUAUGCUGAAAUCGAACAGCCAAACCUCGUAUUCGAAAUUCACAGAAAAGCAACCUCCAGGCAUGUUACUGUCUGUGUGGUGCCUUAUAUUUGAGCAGGAUUUGAGAUAAAAGGGGAUUCCUGCAUCUCCCCUUUUUAUUCUUUAAUAGAGGAGAUAAGAAUUCCUGCAAAAACGAAAUGCAAUUCUAUGGUUGUGGUAAACUUAUAAUUAUUUCAAAACUGACAUUAAAGUAAUCACCUAGUCUUCCUAAAGUUUACUGAGACACUGCUGCUGUCAGUUCCUGGACUAAACGCUUGGCAGUCUACCUCCAAAAAUGUCGGUGAUUGUUGCAAACUGUUGUAUCUGCAGCGGUUUUAGUCUCAGAACAUUGCCCAUGCAUCAAGGCCACUGCUGCGGUGCAACAUAUCGACCAUGGUUUGAUUAAUGACGGUGGACGAUCUCUGCAAUCAUCUCUCAUCCUGUGGUAAUCAGCCUCACUCACUCGCCCAUCUGUCUGCUCUACUCUCAAAUCACACCAUCUACCUGCCAACCGGUCUGCAACCAGAGGCUGCUAAUGAUCUGAUUCUGUUUCGUGGUGUAAAAAUAGUUAAAUACAUAAUUAUCACCAUCGCUCAUAAUGGCUCCAAUAACUGACUCUCAUUGGGGUGGAGGGGCGUUGUUGAAGGAGGAUGAUGGUUCGGCCUGAUUUGAAGGCAGAAUGUUGUUAGUCCAAAAGCUACACAAUCAUCCCGUCUUAACACUUCCUGCAUGGCAAUUGGAUGGUUGCCAAACACUGCGCCGGCUCUUUAUUUGCACUCAAUUUAGAUGGUGUGGCGCCAGACUGCGGGUCUGUGUAUGUGUACUGUGUCUCCAGCCUCUUCUUUCUCCCUUAUCGCUCACUUGUUUGCUCCUUUUCUGUUUUACUCUCCCCAUUUCCUUUUGCUCUUCUUCCAUUCGUCUGUCUUCAGCCUUCAAUUUCCCAAUUUUCAUCAAUUGGUGGUUUUGCUCAUGUUUUCCUCUUUUGUCCUCUAAAACCCUCUUUGUCCCUCAUGUCAUCUCUUUCUUCUGUCUCCUAACUCAUGGUUUUACGGUUUCACUUGACAACCUUCCCUUGUCAUUGUUCUUUUUAGGUUGGAGGGUCAUGGACUUCAAUGUGCUUUAAGAGAGCCAGGUUCUCGCUGGAGAGGCUGUUUCGUCUGGUUUCCACACACCGGGGCUGACAGCGGCCAGCUCACGACAUGCUCAUUAUUUGCCACACAGCCAGUGUGGACUUUCCACACUCACACAGACACACAAAAGAUAAAGGUAUUUAGCUUCACUAUGACAUGACUGACUCAUUAAAAUCCGGAAACUCGGAACGGCGGAUCCGUCAGUAGUUCAUCCACAGGUAGGAUGAAAAUAAAUAUCUAGCUUAUUGCGCAGGCAGCGGUGCAGUUUCAUUUUGUUUUACUUGUAAGCUGUGUGGUCUGCAAUAGUUAGUUGCAAGUCUCUACUGAAAGCAUCAAAGAAAGCAUCUGUAAAGGUUGAGGCAACUAUCCGCUUGUUCUUCUGCUACUAAACCACCUUUGCAACAUAUCACAUCCUAAAUGUUAAAACUUGUCCGAUGAGCUCCAACCCCUUUUCUCUGUUGGCAGGGACUGAGCAGAAAGGCAUCUUUUUUUGUUCAGUUUGACAUUCUUAAUGCAGAGUUCACAGGGUUGGGAAGACAAAGCCCAAUGCUUACACUGGCACACUGGUGCUUAUUUCCUGCACAGCCCUUUGUCUUACUUUCACCUGGUUAAGGUCAUGAAAACAUUCAGAUUUUGUGGUUUUGUUAUAAUGGGUACAUAUAAAAAAUGACAUGCGUUGCCUGUUUCAACACGGAUUGAAAAUCCAGACCACAUAAUACAUUAAAUUCUGUGAACACACCACCGUUCCAUCCGAGACUGUACGCUGUUGUUCUUAAUAAGAAGAAAGCCGCCUACGGGUCUGGGGACAGGGAGGAGCUCAGGAGAGCACUGAUGACGCCAUGUCCACCCUUUCGCGCCCUCUCUGUGACGACUGGCCAGAAAAGGAGACAACUGGAGAGACUCCACCGGUCUGCAGGACCUGAGGGCAUCGGCCUCAAGGUCCUGCAGACCUGCUUCCUGCAAGGUCCUGCAACACCUCUUCAACACAAGCCUGAAGCUGAAGGAAGUCCUGCUUCUGUGGAAGAUGUUAUUCCUGUUCCAUAUGGCCUCAAUGACUAUUGACCAGUUACCAUCACAUCUCAUCUGAUAAAGGUGCUGGACAGCCUGGUCUGAGCCACAACCCCUUCCCCCCACCCCGCUUGCGGGUGAAGUCCUCAAUGGAUUCUCUGAAAUUUACAUAUCAGCUUCAUGUGAUAGUUGACGACACCAUCAUCUUCCAGCUGCAACGUGCUUAGGUGCACCUGGAUGGAACCCGGUCGCUUUGUGAGAAUGACUUCCUUUGAUUUUUACUGUGGACUCAAGACCAACCAUUGCUGCUGAGUGAGAAUCUGCAGGUGGGCGGCGGUAAAUCGGGAUCACCGAUUUCCUGAAAGACAGACCACAGUUUGUCCGACUGGACAGCGUGCUGUCUGAUACGGUGGUCAAUGAUACUUGAGCUCCCACAGGGGAACUUCCCUGUUUUCCUUCCUGUUUACCUCGUACACCACUGACUUCCAGUACAGCUCUGAGUCAUGCCAUCUGCAGAGGUUCUCUGAAGACUCUGCGGGAGGAGUACGGGACAGUAGUGGACGACUUUAUGGAGUGGUCCGGUAGAAAUCACCAGCUUCUUUACGUCUCGAAAAGGAGAGAGAUGGUGGAUGACCACAAUCGCUGAGAGUUGCGGGAGAGAAUGUGGACAUGGUGGAGGGGUAAAAGUUCCUGAGUGUCUCAGGAAUCAGAAACAUUUAUUACCAAAAUAUCUCAGACAUACAAGGAAUUUGACUUGGCGGUUGGUGAGUAACAGCAGCCAACAGACUGAACUGGAUGACAUCGGCGCUGUGUACAAAGGGGAGGUGUACACUCUUCCUUGUUUCUUGGAUCCUUGUACGUGUGCAGGAAGAUGUUGGAUAUAUAUCAGCCUGUUGUGCCCGGUGCUCUCUGUAGUCUGAUGGGGAGCAGCAUUGGAGCCGAAGACAACGCAUUUAAUUUAAUCUGCAGAAGGCCGAGUCCAUCAUUGGCAUAAAGAAGUCUCAAAAAGGUUGUGGGGAAGAGAACACUGAAGUUACGACACUUUCUUGGACUGUAUAUAUAAAUGAUGAAAGGAUAUAAAUAUAUUUGUAUAGCACAUUUAAAAAGAAUGCAAUUUAAAGUGCUUCACAUGAAACCAUUAAAACAAUCCAAACAUCAGGCAAAAGAAAAAUACAUUAGAAAACAAUUAAGUAAAAACACUAAAACAAUAAACACGAUUAAAAGUUACAAUGCAGUUUAUGAACAGUGAAAGCAUCCACUUCAUCCUUGAAUCUGGUUUAAUUAAAGGCAGCAGCAAACAGAAAUGUCUACAGUCUUAAUUUUAAGCAGCUGAGUCUCCGCAGACUUGCAGCUUUCUUGGAUUUUGUCCCAGAUAAUGUGGAGCAGAGAAACAGAACACUGCUUCUCAAUGUUUGGUUCUGACCCAGGGAGCAGAAAGGAGACCCGUCCCAGAUGACCUGAGGCGUUUGGACCAGGGUUGUGGUGGUAGAUUUGGGUAAACUAUACAUUUUGUGAUCAGACAUACCUCGACGCAAUGCCACGCAACUCUGUAAAGCGGUCCUGGCUUUAUUCCAGCAUCUUUAUGUUCAAUUCAGUUUACAAUACGGGUGAAUGAAAUCCAGCGUUGUGAUUGGUUGAGAGUGAGUUGCACACUUUCACAUUAACCUGAGUUCCAGAUCAGUGCACAAUUAAAAUAACAGUUAGAUUUUGUGUGGCCGUUGUCUUUUCAAGCUUUGAUAUUUACGGAGGAAUGACUUUUGAUGGUUAGCCAAAGAGGAUAAAUCAGGUGGACAUCAUGCUACUAUAGAUGAGAAAGAAAUUGAGACCUAUGAAAUGUUGUGGAACGAAGAGAUGGCGAAAACAGUAGGCCUGAAGACCAUACCCAGAGAAGUAUCGUCAUCUUCCAACAUCCUAGCCUUCCGGAUCCCCAGAGCUGGCACUUUGGGAUUAAGCCAUGUUCUUAUUGACCAUUGCAGAGACAUUGGAAGGCAGCAGCAAAGCAGCCAAGCGUGGUGCGAGUCGUCAUUGAGGCGAGAAUAAACCUGGUCCUGAGGAGAUGGUGUGGUGGGUUUACGCCUUCGGGAGCAGGAUGGACAGAUGCCAGGCUUUGCUCCAGGAGCAGGAAUGCGGGAUAUCCCUUUUCUGUGUCCCUGUGGACUCUAAUUAGGGGCUUGCAACACGACAAACACGCGUUUGACCCUGAAGUAGAAUUGGGAGCAGAAUUAUGGGAGUUGCAUGGCCUCUGUGUGUCCCGCAAGUAUGGGGUGCAAAAAUAAAUAUAUACUACCGUACCAGUCAAAAGUCUGGACACAUUUUCACAUUCAAUUCAAUGACAAAGUGUGUCCAAUCUUUAGAACUGGUACUGUAUAUAAACCCCAAUUUAUCAUCAAUUGGGUGCCAAAUGUGAGAAUGUUACUUUAAGGUUUAUUUACACCUGUUCUCCAACAGAAUUGACUUAUCAGACCGGGGUCUCUGGUAAAUCUGUGGUGUUUUCAUUCAGUUUUCACACUGUCUGUACUGAAAGCUGGCGGGACCUUCAGUCCUUCAGUUGAGUAAUCUACCAUUUCCCAACCUCUCUGCCUCUCUCCCUUCAUGCUCCUCUGCCGCACCACCAGUGUGGACUCUGCCAUUUGAUAGUAGUCCAGUGAGCACAGCUCCAGCGAGUGGAGAAACUUCCCAGAACAAAGAGUAGAGCAGUGACCUGGCAUUCCAAUGCUGAGGAGCUCCUGCCAAGCUCACUGAUUGAAACCUCCCCUCAGCCUGCUCCCCCCUCUCCUCCCUCCAUCCUUCUUGCCCCCUACGCCACUGUCUCAGCCCUCCCGCCCUGCCACAGCCCCUCACUCCACUCCACCUGCCUGCUAAAGGGACACACAGAGAGGUGUGGAGAGCCACUGACCGUGAGAGAGAAGCAGAGUAGGCCCGGUCACGAUCAGAAUGCGAGCGGCGCUUGACUCUCGCCGGCACAAACACAAACCUGUCUGCUGGAGAGUUUGGCACACAUUGACCUGACCCCAUGGUCCAAGGUUCACGUGCUCUGUGACAAAGUUUUCCUUCACCUCCUAAGUGCAUUGCAGAAUAUCAAUGGAUAAAGAAAGCUGUGCCUUCAGACUCCCACUUUUGGGUCACAGUGGAGAAAAUGAUACAUGCACUUCCUAAUAGUACGGCGCUGUUACCUCCUCUGUAACAAUGAUAUUGUAACUGAAAUCCACAGGAAGGCCAUUUUAUAGCACACAAUGGACGUCGUUUAUAUCUGGCAUCUAAAAGUACAACAUAUUCACAAGAGCAGAAGGGCCUCGGUCAAAUUUAAUACAGCUGUUUUUUUUUACUGUUUCUGAGUGCGAGUUUCUCACAGAGCGCUGCUAAUACAGUAUGUAUGAAAGUCAGUCGUACCAUUUGUUGCAGAUUCCAAUUGCAAAGGUGUUUGACACAUUCGGGUCCAACAACAAUGGGAAAGAUUCCACUUCAGAAUACACAACAUUGCAAUUUGUCCAGUCCCAUUUUGAAAUGCAUAACUUUGAUACAGGACAAUUCAUUUGAAUAAUCUGGCACAAGGUAAAAAUUGAAUGACAACAAACCAGAACCCGACCUGAACCCUGAAACAUUGUUGUGGCUUGCAGGAACCACUGCAAACAACAACAUUUCCCCUCGGUAGUAGCUUCUAAAAUUGUUGUUCACAAUAAGUGUACCAGGUCAAUUGUGCUGCAAAGAUCUAAAAAGGUGUAAGAACGGUAAGAAGGUACAGAGCGUUCUCACUCAACUUCAAACCAUCAUUUUUUGGCACAAAUAAAAGUAUAAUUUGAAUAUUUUUCACAGUUUCACGUUCAGCCAUCAGAGGUAAAAGAUGUAGACAUGUGCAUCCGGUAAACACACACAAACAAUAAAUGUUACAGUUCGUACGUACCAAUCUUCCCUAUAAACUUGUCCCUAUAAAUGUUCUUGUUGAGCCGAUUGUUUUCAUCUCUGUUGCAGUCAGAUGGAAAGAGAUUCUCCCUUUAAUUAUAAAAACAGCCUCUUCCGGAGAGGUGGCACUGCUCUCUUUCACUGGAGAGGAAGUGCAGCAUAUGGACACUCUACACACGCCACAAUACCUGGUGCAAAUGUGUGUGGGUGUUUCUUCAGUCUAAGAAACUAAACAGUUUAAGACCAUCUGCCUUGUUAAUGUGGGAGCAUGGUGCCAGUGGAUGCUUUGAUAGCAACCUUUGAAACUAUGGACAUCUGUGUGUGGUGUGGUGUCUGUCUCUUUCUUUAUGUGUGUGUGUGUGUGUGUGUGUGUGUGUGUGUGGGGUUCGAAGAGAUGGCUCCAUCUGUUUGUAUUGUUUCUCUUCUUGAUUGCUCUACUUCCAGCAAACUUGUAUUCUGGGACUGUUUUGAACACACACCCACACAUGCUGCAUACCUGCAGGGAAGCAUGGGCAGGGAACACACCGGAUACACACACAGGAUACACAAUGAGAACUGAGUGACAUAUCCUAGUGAGUACAGUAUGAGCGCAGAUGUGGGUUUGGGAAAAAGGGUACAAUUAGAAAACGUAGGAAAGGCCAGUGACUGUUCUUUUUCCAGUCUUUGUCUCUUCUCCUAACGGCUGAUAACUUGCAGAAGAUUAAGCAGGUUGUUCACAGGCCAAAUGUUUGACAAUGUGGCUUCAUUCUUUGUGGAUAAAUUGUUGCUUAAUCUUCAAGCGGGAUUCCAAAUGUUCCAUUUACUAAUUUAAUCUUUCACAUUUGCUCUGCUGUUGCCUGCGAGUGUGUGUGUGUGUGUGUGUGUGUGUGUUGUGCGUCAUGUCCUGUGAUGUCCGUGCGUGCCUGUGUGCAGUGGCCCGGUGUCUGGCUCCUGGGAUCUGUGAGACAUAAGGCAGAGACAGGGGCAAGAGGUUAACAAACACACACACACACACACAUUUGUACACACACUGAAACACUCAAGAGAUACAAGACACGUGCAUUUAAUACCUCGUCCUUUAACAUUUGUUCGUCCCUAAAAUGAACUAAUAGAAACACUGGAUACGUAGAAAAGCCGUACAGAAGUCCAAGUAAAGCAUUUCUCAUUUCUGUUUCAAUGCUGGAAACGUACACACACGUCCCCAGUGAGCGCACGUAUUGCGCACACGUACAGCCACGUGCAUCACAAACCCCGGCACAUGUUUCGACCCCGGUGCCAGCGCUGCACUGCGCGGCUGGGGUGCCAGCAGGGACUUUGUUCUGUCUCUGUUGAUAUUAUUCAAAAGAAUAAAGCUUUUUUUUUUUUUUUUUUUUGUCUCCCAGUAAAUUGAAAUUCAAAACAAAAUGCUGAUUAAGAGCUGCGAGACCUCCCCGGAGGAAAGAGCACUGGCAUUUAACAUGCGUGUCCCGUGUUCAGCCCCGGUCCGUUCUCAAAACGCACACACAGCCAAAGCAAUCUCCCCGAGAGCAGCGCGGCAAAUUUCUAGCGGUUGGAGCCCCGAUGUGCAAAGUCAAAUGAAGGCUUCAUGGUUUAUCAAAGCAGCUGCAGAGUUUAUUCGACUAACAAACACACAGGCGGCCCAAUAACACUGGCAGUGGAUAUUUCCUCCGACGCAUAUACAAAAGAACCCGAAAGCUGCUCCGUGUCCACACAGAGGUGAGUGCAUCUUGUGCAUUGCACAAGAUAUGAGACCUAAUAUGGAGAUAAGGAUUCAAGUGGCAUGAAAAGACACGCACAUCCACAUAUUUGCCCUUUCAGACGGCAGCUUUAGCGUUAAACUGCUGGAAUGAGGGACUGUGUUGGACUGGGGACAUUUGGGUAAACAGUGGGAUGUGACUGCGCCACGCAAUGUAGCCAUGUUAAUCCUCUCAGGGGUCAGGGGUCAGCACUUUUAAAAGGCUUGUUUGUGCGGAACAAUGAGACAGUCACUAGACCAGGAUCGCUGGGAGCUGAGGGCAUACGUGAUGAUCCUGUGAUCAAGUGAAGGCACGGAAAUCACUGUUUAAUGAGGAAAUGUGUGAGAGCUAAAGGGAUUUUUCUCGCCGUGCAUCUGGAGCUGUAAUCUCCUUUGCAUGACUUUGCCAAUUUACCAAACGGUAGUUACUGACUGAUCUUUUUUUUUCAGAUUUUGGCUUUUGGUCAAAUAACAGAUCUGAAUAGCUGAAAAACCCAAACAGAAAAACCUUUGACUGACUUUAUUUGUCAAAUGAAGAACUCUGCAGUAAACAUUUUGCAUGCUGAGUAUUUUUGCUUUGACAGCCGCUUACACAUCCAACCAUUUCCUCAUUGUGUUGAUUAAGAAAAGCGUAUCCUUUACAUUUCAGAGCGCUAACAUGUGUUCUUAAACAGCGUAGUGUUAAACACUGAAACACGCUCGGUAACCGUUACCUAUCUCCGGCUCUUUGUGCCACUGCAGGAGUUUAUUCUUUGCCUAUUUAUUUGAUGUUGAUGAAAGAGUGGAUCAAGUCCAAUCGCAUCAAUCACAUCAAAGACCUGCUGUGUAACGCGAGGAAUGGCACACAUGAUGCUCAUACGCGCACGCACACAUAAAUGUGCUGGCGCACAGUCUGGUAAAACCUUUAUAGUUUGAUCAGCGUCCUUAUCUUGAAAGAAAGUAAUUUACCCCCUUUUUCAGAGGAAUGUGAAAUCUAGUGGAGACAGUGCGCGUGUCUCUGUGCUCGGCCAGCGUCCUCCACGACGCCGCCGAAGGCAGCUUGUAUUCACUGAGGAAACAGAGUAUGGCUUUAUAGUAUUUAUACGCCACCGCUUGCCUCUAUCUCGGGGUCAGAGCAACGCUGUCCACCUCCAUGAAGCGCCGCACGCCCACGUCGCCCCUUUCUCCAUCCCGGCCUGCUCCCCCACUCACUGUGGAUGGAAAGAACUCCACAGAGAGCCCUGUUAAUUUCCCACAGGUCAGCUGAUGCCUCCUCCCCACCAUCACAGGACACAUGUCCACGGCCGGCCCUCCGCCGCCGAGCGAGCAGACCUCCAAGUGUCUGUGUGUGUGUGUGUGUGUGUGUGUGUGUGUGUGUGCGUGUGUGUGGGACGUGACGGCCGUGACGAACAUGAUACAUCUCAUCACAUGCUUCUCCUUAGCGGAUUAACAGGCGGGCUUCCAGCUGCAUUUAUGCCAAUGCUCCUGUGGGGACUGGCUUUGUGCAGGCAACGGGAAAAUUCAAUCACCGCCUGAAGGACAGAAACGGGCGGGUUGAAACGCUGCUUUGGUUCAAUUUCCGUGUUAACCUUUUUUUCAAAGCUGUAAAUGAGGAAAGUGAGCUGGAGUGCAACUUCUCAAUCUGUCCCGCCUGUGUUUCUGACUUUGUCGGAAUCCAGGUUACGGCAGGAUGGAUUUAGGAAAUGGAUCAUGAGACACACCUCUAAUGACCGAUCUCAUGAUAAACUAGCUUCUAAAGUUUAUAUAGGUUUAAAUCACGUCAACUGUGUUGCUUAGAAAUCAUGGUAUGUGAGAGAGAUCUCAUCGCCAGACAAGACAAUCUCCACCACAUUCUUCAGUCAGCUUUGUGACAAAAUCAAUCUCAAAAGCACGUAUAUGGACAUUAAUCAAUUAUUGUUUUUAUUAUGUUACAUUUUUCAUAAGAAAUUCUCUCAUCAGUUUGCAUUUUUUGAUCACAUCAUUUGAAUAGAUAAUAGAUAUUCCCUCACUAUUUGCACCACUUUGAGCAUCGAUGAAAAUAUGAUUAAGGAUGGUUUCACAUUUUUUAGUAUUUUGAAUGAAGCACUCGCGCAUGUUGAAAAAUAAGCCGAACUACGCAACAUAACCGCACCUUGACCUUCGCUGGCAGCGCUCAAAUGAAUUUGAAAGUUUUAAGCGCGUGACAAAGCUGCAUGUGACUUAGAAUUUCCAACUUUGUGCCAGAGCACAUUGGUGCCUUUGAUACACUAUACUAGACAUCUGUUCAUGCAUUCAUGCCUCAGAAGAUAUUACAGCCCUGAUAGGUAUCUCCUAAAAACAUCUGCUGAGAAGAACACCCCGGUCCCAGGCUACAUAACACAAUUGUCAAAUACACUCGAGUAUAGUUCGCCAAGCUUGCCAACUUGUGAAAGGAAGAUCCGGACAUCUUAAUUCGAUCACAAUAUUACCUACAGCAGCGUGAGCGGGAUGAAGGCUGCUGUCAGGAAGCGCAGUCUCCAGACACCUCAUCAGCAGUGUGUUCAUUAUAUUCAUCCUCACUCACGUUUCCUCCCCUUUCUGUUUGGUUUGAUCCCUGUGGUAUUUAUAAAAACAGAUCCAUACUUCUGCAGGUGUGUUUGACAGUUGCGUUGACCGAACCGGAGGCGGCGGCGGCGGCAUCUCGGAUGACAGCCGUUUACACGUGUUGGAUAUUAAGGCAACACCUGUCAACAUUUCAAUUAUCCCCUUCAUUAAAUGCGCUCCACUCAAAUCCAGUGAGGCACAGGUGGCCUUUUUACAACACGCCGGUUUGCGUAAGUAUUGCGAAGAAUUCUUUAUGACGCCUGCAACCUAAACUGUGCUAUCGGGAACUUUACCUGGGACUUUGCCCCCACCUCCGGCAUGCAGUUGUCUGAGGCAUUGUCACUCAUACAUCCCUGAGUGCCAAUGAAGGAGUAACGCAUGUGUGUGGACUUGACUGCGAAUAUGCGCAUGAAUGCUCUGGUGCACGUGUGCCUCUGUGAGUGUUUGUGAGACUCCGGGAGGAACCGGCGGUGAGAGGGAUGGAAAGAACGAGGGAGCAGCAGGGAGAGGAGAGGAGAGGUAAGCUAAAGCUGCAUGACGAGUGCGUCGGGGCACAGGGCCCCCGACCUGGAGCCACCGCCCCGAGCACAGGUACACCGCGUCCAAGCAGACGCCGAGGGACAGAGGACAGAUUUCCUCAUGGAGAGGGACGCCUGAAUACACAUCGAUACACACUCACAGCGUGCACAAAGACAGUGGGAGAUGGAGGGGGCAGUUUUGCAUCUUCUUUUCUUCUACGCCUUGAAAUGUUAAAAAAAGUUGACUUGCAGUCCUAAGCAGAAUGCACAGUGCGUACGAGGUGACUGGGGGGUACAUCAGUACAUUCGCAAGUUGCUUUUCCUUCACCGAGGCAGCAGGGAAAGAAAAAAGAUUAGCAACAAACAUCCAUGUUGGGGCAAGAAUAAUGCAAACGAUAACUGGUGCUUGCUGUAAUCCCCAAUGUAGUGCAAUGCGAGUGAAGCUUGUCUGAUUGACAUAUUUAAUACAUGCCCUGUGAUGAUUCUGUUUGCAUUGGGAGUAAAAAAAAAAGGAUAAUGCUCACAAACAGAUAAAGCCGCCGCGGAAGUCGUGCAUAAAGUGCUGUGAAUGAUAAUUACCAAGAGAAAAUUAGAGGGGGGGGGGGAUCUAAUUAUACAUUCCUUUCCUUCAAAGUAAAGAAUAAUAAUAAAUAAAAGAUUGUGUAGUGGGGAUAGACAAUAGAUGUGAUUGACAAGGAGAUGAAACAGUUCCAGGGCGUCAAAAUGAACAUAUUUCAAUGUGACACGGUGUUCUCAAGGAGAGCGUCGUUGAAGAACAGUGCCGACAGCUAUCACAGAAAACGUCUCGUGUAAAGUCAAAUCUUACACUUCUAAUGUGUUGUCGUCUACCCACAGGGAGGGGGCGAAGAGGAGGGAAAGAGGUAGAAAAAAACUAAAAAAAAACAUUUUUGAAGGAUUGUGACCAAUCUUGAGUUUCUGAUUGGCAAGUGUUGUCCCUCGGGGUUAGUUUGGAAUUGUGAGGGCGGAACAACCGUCAAGAUACCUAAGUGGGAUUCCUACAAUUGAUGGCGAGACAGUUCUAUUACUGACGUGUCAUACUUUUCUGAACCUGUCUGAGCCUGUGAGAGGAUGUUGGUGACAGAGAUGAAUUCAGGUCCCAAACGGUUGGCUAAUGUUGUAUACAGAAACAACCUAUUGAUUUCAGCUUUCAGCUUAUUUAGGGUGUUGGGUACAAUUUUAGAGCAAGGAGAUGCUCGCCUAGCAACACAAACACACACACACACACACACACACACACACACACACACACACACACACACACACACAGUAGGAUGGAGGCGUCAUUCUUCAUUCUGCAGCAAAUUGUUUCAAAGUAAAUAGUUGUUUGCAGCUAUAAUUAAUUUUUUGAAUCCUGCCUUCCGCUGUUUUCGAUCUUUGAACAAAAACUUUCUCAUUUACAAUGUCAGUCUUAAUUCCGAAUAAGGUCACAUGACAAAACUAGAAAAACUAUCGGAAGGAAAGACGUUACUUAAUGAGCUUCAGCGGCGUUGAUAUCAAAAUGGUCAGAAUUGAACAUGUUCGCAGACCAAAUGGACGAGGAUGGCGGGUUUGAGAGACAGGCCCCCGAGGCCUCUGGAGGUCAGUAACUAAAAGGUUAUGGCAGAUAGGAUAUGUCAGUGCUGUGACUGCUAAUAAGUAAAUACUCUAUCUGUUUGAUCUCCAAUUGGGGUCAGGGGUUUCGUCUGAGGUUAACCCUAAGAGGUCAUUAGGUUACAAUCGUUAUUUUUUUGCUUCAGCUCACAGACAUUCAUCCAAUCAUUGCAUUGUGCCCAGUAGAGCGGGGGCCAUUCAGCUUUUGACACAAAUCAACAUGACGAAGAAAAGCAGCCGGGCUGCUAAACGGGGCGACCGGACGACCCAGAGUGCCGAGCUCAGACGUGAGCGGCUGUCUCACCGCUUUGACUAACCGGACGGGACAGAGCGGAAUGCUUCUCGUGCCAAUCAAUGAUAUUUUUAUUGACCAGAGAAAAUAGCUUUGUCAAUGCACUCUCUCUGAUUAACUAACCUCAACAUUGAUAGUAUGAGCGAUUGACGGCGAGCAUCGGAGUGCUCGUCAGAAGGGCCUGGGGGGGGAGAGGUGUCCCGGUCUCCUGGACACUGGGGUGCUGUUAACAUUGCAGCAGGAGGAUAAAAUACUUGACAAAGCCUGCUGAACACAAGGCACGGAGAGUGAGCUUUAAACUCCCAGAACCGUAUGAAAAUAAGCUUUUGGACUGUCUGCUGCAUUUGCCUUUUUAUGUCGGUAUUCUUUUGUGCCUCUAUGAUGAAAUCAAAGAUGUGUUUUAUCAUUGUGUGGGCUGGAUGUUUUUCUCUGCAGAUGCUCUAAUCAGCUUUAAUGGCAGUGUCAGCUUGUGAUUUAAAACAGAAAAAGAAAACUCUGCGUGCUUGUUGACAAGAGGGUUUUUAUUUGCAGCUAAAUAAUUUGUAGGAAUCCGAGGUAUAAAAUCUUUUAAAGUUGUUGAAAAAAGAAAUGAUUGGGUCCAACGGUGUUGUCCUGUUGAUGACCUCUUGAGAAAGCACAAACCUGCCUCCAUCAAAUAACAAGAACCCUUCUCUUGUGUAUUUGUCCUAGAACAUUUUGCAAUAUAUACAACACAAAACUAAAGAUACUUAAGAUACUUAAAAAGAAAAACAUCUGAAACUAUUACUUUAUGAGCUGCGCUCUACGUUGGGAAAUGCGAGACUUUGCUCUCCAAACUAGAUACGUUUCCCUAAAAUAACGUUGUCUCCGGACUGAGAGCUCACAUGACAAACACGGGAAUGCACGGGUGACAACACCCCAGCGUGCUGCAGAGAGGGACCUGAUAAUGCCGCUUCAUGAGGUUCGUGAGCAUUUAAUGACCAAUUCAACAGGAAGAAUGUUCCUGUCUAAAGCCAGCUUGGCCGUCUUUGCUUUUAACCACGUCUGCGUGGAAGUUUGGCCUACAAUCCUAAAGUUGCAUUGUAAUACGUCAGGAAAUGCAGUCGGUCAACCGGCCCUUAAUUCAUUUUGGCAGACAUUAUACGUUGCAGGCUUCUAAUUUAACUGCUGUCUAUUCAAGCUCGACACGCUUGUUCACAGCGGAGCCUCGUUUAGAUAUUUCUUGCUUUGUUUCUUAAUGUUCAACCGCCUCCAUCAUGACUGACACACGCAUGUAGCAACAGCUUUUAAACCAAUGGAACAUCAGCCCGGACUUGGCUCGUAGCACUCGGCAGCCAAAUUGCUACAUCAGCUUAGUUGAAUUUAAAAAAUAUUUAUAGUUGUUUACUUCAUAUCGGACUACGUGCUUAUGAUAUUAACCGCGACGCUGUGAUAUUUCUCCUGCCUCGGCGUAAAAUCGAUAUGUUCUGAAUAAACCUGAGUGGCGUCUCGGCCCGGGCGGCGGUUUGUUGCGACGCCGUUGAGUCGGAGUGAGUGAGUGUUUAAAAAGGUCUGAUGGAGAGCCAUUCAUCCAGACAUUCUAGACAACUUGCUGAUAGGGAAUAUAACGUCUCGAUGGCUUGUUAUCGACUGUUAUGGUGUUUCAUCGUUUAGUUUGAUCAGUGAAAUCAAAUUCUGGCCCCCGGCCAGGCUGCCAUUACCCACCGAGUUACGGCGAGGGGGCCGAAGGGGGCCGAGGAGACUCUCAGGUCGGCGUAGGCACGUCUGCCUGUGUGAUGUGAAACAGAGGGAAAAAAGAUGGCAUUAAUGUCCAUUUGUUAUCUCUCUGCUCGGGUGGAGACAUCGGCUGGGAGCCUAUGAAGUCAGCAGUGUGCAGCCGGGGACGGGGCGCAGAGGACAAGGCGGUGCCUGGCUAGAUCCCUUAAAGAUGUUAUUAAUGGCCAUGGGCACACACGCACACGCACAUGCACACGCACACGCGCACUCUCUCUGUUUGCAAUGCAUAACUCAGUAGUAAGCCUCUUUCUGUGUCCUGUCCCGAGAGAUGAUGAGCAGAAAGCAGAACAGGGUGACUUGAUAAUCCUGCUGUAUUUAUACUCCACCCUGCUGACUUUUGCACUUCCCACCCUUCUCGGUUCCUUCUCUCUUUCCAUUUCUUCUUCAUUACCUACAUAUUCGAUCCUAUCUGGCUUUAUUUUUCUUCCUUUUUCUUUUGCCUAACCGUCUUUCUUAUAUUGUAUUUCACAUCAGUUUUUUUUUGUUUUUUUUAUUAUUCCUUCAGGGUGCUUUAAACUUUCCCCAUUUCCUCUAUUUCCAUUGCGUUCUUCCAGGGGAUAUCAUUCUUUUUUUUCAUUGCAUCUCCUACUUUUCUUUUAAAGUUAUAAUCAAAGAUCAGAGAGCAAAUGUGCCCAACCACUUUCCUUUCUUCUGCAUUCCUCACAAACACCAGAUCUUACCAUCAAUUUAACUACGCACUUUCUCUUUGCUAUUCACUCCUUUUACUAUGGUUUCUGUUUUCUUUCCACUUACAAGGCAUUUCUUGUAUGUAUGUAGCCGUGUACCAACAUCAACAGGACCAAUAAAACACAUAGAAGACAAGUAGUCAUUCAAAAACAAACACAGGCAAAAAGAGAAAGAUGGGGAAGGUGAAAGAGUCUGAAAGCUGGGGGGGGGGGGGUCCUCUUCUCAGACUCUGUGCCAGAGGUGAGGGGGGGCAGAUGGAUUAGCAAAUGUCAAUGUGAAAAAAACAAAAUGGGAAAACGCAAACCGUUUGUCAGCUAUGGUUAGUGUUGUUUCCUUAUGCCUGAGGAGUUUUUAUACAUUACUGCAAAAGGAAGCUCUGAGGCAAACUUUUAACACCUAGAAAAAACAACUGCAAGGUAUUCUCACCAUACACGACCAAAAGAAUAAAAACCCAGAGUACAAUUCUACCCAAAUCAACAACAGUGAUUCACUUUUGUUUCUCUGUUUUGUUUCACUCCCACUUUGAAAUUUGUGAUAUCAGCUGCUUCUGGAUAUUUUACUGCUUUCUUUUUAUCAUUGCCUACAGUUUUAUUUCGUGAAUCAUUUCUCUAUGCCCCUUAUAUCGCCCCUGGAACUCAAGAAAGCCUGAGGUGCUUCCAUGAUUGUAAUGACUGCAAUACCAUUUGUUUUAAUAGCUUCCACCAAUGUACUCUGUUAAUGCAAAAAAACAAGUUUAACUAAUUCCUCCUAUUAUGUGGUUAAGUGUCGGCUUUUAAAGUGGCUGAAUUCCAAAGCGCUGCAGGGUCGGUGCUUUCGUUACAACUCUGAGAAUAUUAACACUGAUGUUAAACUGAUGUGCUGGCUCAGCCGCCACAGAUAAAACUGUGUGGCACAGUAAAGCUGCCGCAGCUUCCGUGGCAUUUUUUUUCUUGUGAUCAAGAAACAACGUUAAGAAAAUAUUUUUACAAAAAAAGUAUGAUUAUACCAUAAUUAUAAUUAAUUAUACCAUAAAUGUCCAUGUUGGGAUCACUGCUCUGUCCACAGGCUCCACUACGGCAUCUAUGCGCGUGCUCCUACCACUCGCACAGUUUCGCAGUCUAAAAGUUUGAUAACCUCAACUGUCUUGCAUGAAAAACGUCCUCCAGUUCCGUCGCUGACAGUCAUUAUUCAUUAACAAAUGAAUAUGCUGGUAUUAGUGUGAAAGAGAAAUAUGCACCAAUGGCACGAUAGACAUUACUCUUUGUCUUUUAUCAUAUUUUAUGAUCUCAUUUUCUGCCUUAUUGAUUUCUCAUUUCACUCCCUCUCUUAAAGUCUCUCACGCCGUCUUCCCCAUCCUUCCUCCACUGAUAUGCCACACAGAGGCGCAGACGACUUUGACAGCUUGUAAACCAAGAUAAGGAGGCUGAAAGCACAGCUCACUUUGACAUAUAUAAGCUCAUCUUUACAACUACUUCAUACAAUCUUUGCCCUUUAACUCUUUUUCUUUAUUUCGUCUCCUCGCGUGCCUGGAUGCCAACUUUUACAUGUCGAGUUUUGACAUAAAGAGGUCACGGGGGUCAAUUGCGCAGCAAUUUGGCGUGUGUGUGUGUGUGUGUGUGUGUGUGUGUUGUAAGGUUUGUGUUUAAAGGCGGACAUGCUGCUGUCAUAAACGUUACAGGCGACACAAAAUGCUCUGUGAAUCCCAGAACCUUCUCACUCAACUAUUUUAUUGGAAACGCCACGGUUCGGUUUGCACUUUUCUCAUCUGAGUGUGUCCAAGGGAGAGAAGGAAAUUGACACAUCUGCAGAGUACGAGCACUUAAGCUCGGGCAUCGGCAGUGGAGGGGGCGCGGCCUUCUCUCGUUAACUUAAAAUGAAACACUCCCCCAGUCAAUAGCCCCGGGCUGUAAACCCCCCCCCCUGCAUCACGACUCUGGAGCUGUGUGCCUCCAAACUUUCCCUCUAAACACAUGUAUUCAUACGCCCUGAUGAUUCAUACUCGUCUUCUAAAAAUCUGCACGAUCCUCCACCGGUCCGCUCUACGUAAUGUUUUAUUGUACCGCGGUGUAUCACGAUAGCAUCUUUAAUUUGGAGUGAUGCAUGCGAAUGAAUAUGUAAGGAAUAAACAAUUCCUGGGUAUCAUCCACAUGGAUCAGUCUCUUUGCCGUGAGGCUGGAAGGAAAGGAGAAUAGGGAAGACAAUCAGGGGAAUAGACAAUUGGAGUGGUGUUAAAGGGAAGAGGGAUGAGAGGAAUUGUUGUUGUAGAAAAGGUAUGUAGGAGGAUAGGAAAAGUCAUGGAGGGAACAAAGGGAGUGCAGAAGGAAAUGAGGCCAUGGAGAAGGAUCGAGGCCGGAGUUUGGAGAGUUCUUCUUCCAGAUAAUACCUCACAUGGAAAAUCUCAAUCUGAAAUUUGUCAAACGCUCCCAUUAAAGUCCUAUGAGCAAAUAUAUCUCCUAUCGUGUAGUCUAUCAGGCCAGCGGAUUAAUUAGAAUGAAUGACAGCUCCACCCGUCUCCCAGAUGUUGGAGUAUAUCAACGUGUCCAUGCUCCGCCUCCUCCGACUCAGCCUAAUUGAAAAUGAAUAAAUAUAUUUUCUUCCGAGUUAAUCUAAUGUGAUUUAAGAGAUUAAUCUUGUGGGCGUCAGACGGACGCUGCGGCGAUCUACAUCACACUGCCACCCCGAACACCACCGGUGGUGUGGACACGUGAAACAUCCAGCUCACUAAGACCGGAGCGCUCACUGAGAACGUUUACAACCUAUAACAGCCAAAACACUGGUGAGGUUUCAAUAAAAUGUCUUGAAUAUAAAUAGUUAGCAAAAGAAAUGAGGAUUAUUGUAGGGCAGGCAAAGGGCCGCAUAGUGUCAACAUCCCUCUAUCAACGUAUGUGAACCACCUAAUGCAGCGCACUCCUUAAACAGAUGCUAAUCACUUUCAUCAGAUAAGAGACCGCGCUUUAUGAAGUUUAAUAUAUGGAGACACACACGUUCACAUGCAGUCGUGCUGAGUGAUGCAGCGAGGCCGGCUGAUUAAUAAGUCGGGAUGCGAUGCAAUCUCCGUCUUUAUUAAGAUGUUGAAAGACACAAGACGCUAAGCCACACACACACACACACACACACACACAGAGUCACACAUACAGUAGAGCCUGACACGGGGAAUGUGCUUCAUGAAUGACCACACGCAAACACCACAAUAUAGAAAGGUGAUUGGAUUUAAGGACUGUGGAAACAUCCAAUGACACAAGGAGAGUGUGCGAGUGUAAAUGUGCAAACGUGUCUUUACACAAUCAGCAGGAGUAAUUGCACAAGAGGUGGUGUGUUAAGAGUUGUGGAGCAUGAGGGAGAAGGAUCUUUUUUGGCCAAAGAAUAAUGGCCAAAAUGAGUGCAGAUGGAGGAGGCAGAUGGUUUCAUUUGUGAUGGGUAGCCCUGGGCUGCCAGGGUGCUGGAUGGGUAAUGGAUGUAGCUCCAUGGAGCCCAAGGCCCUUCCUGUGGAUUGUGGCUCAGUGUCAGUCACAUGUUGAUAGCAUGUGAUUCUUUAAUUGUCCAGAAGUCGGUGAGAGUAAUUUGACUCUGCGACAGAAGGGCAGCGGGCGAACCUGCCAAGCCGCACUUGAUAACCUGUGACAAGUGUAAUAACACACUUCUAUGUACAAAACAUGCACUUCUUCUUUUCACAUCUCUUGCUGCAUCUACGGAUCUAUCCAACACGGCAUUUAUUUAUUAUCGCAGACUAAAUGUUGAGAACGUUUGGGUGACACUAGGGGAACUUCAGAUUUCUCCAGGCCAUUGUUAAUACAAGCUGAAUGUUCUACAAGUUAAAGAGAUGUGAAAACUACAGCAAUAACAGGAAACAUCAGGAAAGAAUGGCGGCACUCGCUAAGACAAACUGUCGGAUCCAAGAGACUUAAGAGGAAAAAAUGGCCAAAAGAGAGGACAGAUGUGGACAAGAUAAGGUCAGGCAGAUGACAUUUUCACUGCCUUUCGAAACUGCAAUGUGUUUUGUGUUAGAAAAUUGUAUAUUUAAAAAUUGGCAAAAGACUUUUCUCAAUUCCUUAAAUUAAACUCUCUCCCCGGUUAAAGGAGUACCAAAACUCAUACAUCGCUCCGCAAAAAUGGCACAACCAAGAAACAGAGAAGCAGAAGUUCCCAAAAGGAGGGUGAUUGUAUAUUCAAGGCGACGUUAAAAUGAUCUGCGCCUCAAAACCACGGGAUUAUCAAGCCACAUCUGUUGGCCAUUCACCGGCUGCACAUGCGCUAAUCAUGAUGUGAAGAGUAAUUACCAUUAUGGAUCUUUGUGAAUGUGUGAAGCAAAAACAGCAGGGGCAGCGUUUUCUUUUUGUUGUAUAACUUUUCACAUUCCAGAGGGGCAGUUGAAAGAGUUAAGAGUGACAGAUCUUUGGACAUGUCGCCGGCAAAACAUCUUGUGGUGCCUAGAUAAUAAGAAACAGAGGGAAUAUGAGUGUGUGUGUGUUUAUAAAAGGCCAUAUUUAAAAAAGCUUUGCUUGUGUGUGUGUGUGUGUGUGUGUGUGUGUGUGCGGUGCAUGAGGGUGAUGCUGUCAUGGUAAAGGGUCAAAUAUGACUAAGACGUGUGCAGGUUUUGUGUGUCAGGCUACAUACACACAUGUGUCCCAGCCUCAUUUUAGAAAUGAUUUCAGUCCAUCCUAACUCACCUUAAAACGAACAUCACAAGACUAUUCAUCCUCUCUGGGCAUGCGGAUGUCGGUGUAAACAGGAAGUAGAUUGGUUGCUUAGUUAGUGGAUAUUUUCCACUGUAUUUCCCACAUACACCCUUGAUCAGACAAAGGGGCAAAACGUUUUUCUUUUCAAUCUUAGUUACACAACUGCAGCUCUGUUCCAACAACAUAUUUUGGUCUAUGUCUCUCACUGGUUUCCUUGCUUUUGCAGUGGUCUCACACUCUGCCGGGUCACUAGAGCUUUUGUUUGUUUUUACUUUUCCUGUGAACUUCACAAUAGUUGGGCACGACCAGCUAAGCACUGAUAACAUCGGGAAAGUCCUCUGUUUUAUAUCCGUUACCCUCCUCUGAGCUGCGAAGCGUGACUCAGAACGACACGUCCCGAUGGACACGUCUGCAAGAACCAACCCAGCAACAAACGUGUGGUUUCUGCCCGGCCACAUCGCAAGCGAACACGCCGCCGUUGGCGGUUUCAAACACCUCUGUUUUUUUGAGGAGGUCAACUGGUAUCACAAAACCAGUUGACCUCUCUUCUCUUCUCCUCUCCCUUCUCCUCUCCUUGUCUCAUCUCUCAUAGACAACCCAGCAAUUUGCCUUAAUCCAUAUUGACUGCUCCACCAUGACCUCACUCCAUAGGGUCCAGGCCUGAGGAUUUACUCCUAGACAGCCAAUCUAAACAACCUGAUAUAACUUCUUUUUCUCAGUGUGACUGUGUCUGUGUGUGUGUGUGUGUGUGUGUGUGAGAGAGAGACCCACAAAAACGUUGAUGUGAGUGUAUGUAGAAAAUGUGGCAGAGCAGCGUCUGUGUGUGUGAGUAAAGCUUUUCACUAUCAGCCUUUGGCAUGAUGAAUGGGACAAAGAUGUAAAGUCAGAGAUAAACCAAAGGCCCAGAGGCUCCCUGGGAGCCCGGCCAUAAAAGUCUCUUUUCACAACCAAUCGUUAGCUCCAUACAUGCGGGCAUAGGCCAUGCGGCCGCGCACAUGCAUUUAAACAGCUGAUGGCUACGUGAAGCUAAACAACCACUUGCAGAAAUAAAACCCUAACACAGUUUGACAAUAAAGGCGAAAUCGUUACGUGAGUGUUUCUUUGAUUUCUGACCGAUUGUUUCUCGACUCUAUGUUUCUAUAUAAUUGUGUGCUUUCUUUUGUUUUCCCGCUGCGUGAAUACACGUUAUUGUGCAGAAUGUAUGUGGGUUUGGCACGUCGAGUAUUUCAUGAGUAUAUGUUGUACCACCAGCUGGGUCAAUUUCAAUCUCUUUGCUUAAUUAAUGGUUUGCCUCUGGCACCACUGUGAAGAGAGCGCCGAUCUGCUCCUUCAGCUUUUUCAGCUCGCUGUGUACACACAAACAAUACACGGGCGCACACUCCAACAGGUGCACGGAUUGUGUGGGAGGACCAGCAAAGAACCAACGGCAGCAGCAUUGCAUCUCUCACAUACAAUUGCGAGCUCAAAGAGAAAAUAAGCACACUUCGCUGCACCCUUGCAUUUUUUUGCAUGUAUUUCAUGGUUGAUGAUUGGAAGCUAAGCAGUUUCUGUGAAACAAAUUAUUUGUCUAUUUGGCUGCAGAAACCUCAGAAAACUCAAAGACCAUAGGCGUGUAAAAAAAGAAAUGUGAAUUUAAUGGCAUUUUUUAAGGACUUACAUCACAUCCUUCCCCAAAACCUUCAGUUUUUCCCUUUUCAUGACCCUCCGUCAUUGUCUAAAUUUGUUCCAUUAUUUGUUGGCCUGCCAAGACAAUCCUCUAUCCAGCCCUCCACUUCCCCAUAGCCAGCAAACUCUCCUCAAUCUGUCCUCUCCCAUUCAUCCGGAGCCCUGAAAUGCGGAUGCAGCCCUUGUGUUGGGUGUUUACGUAUUCUGCCCUUGUAGGAGGCUGGCAUCUAUGACUUUGGAAACCACCGCAGACACUUUUCAGGGCAGUGCUCUUUUUCUUCCAUGCGGAGUUAUUAAGAUGCGUAUGUUUCAUUUAUGAUCAGAGCCUUUUCAAAGAGGGAUCUCUUGUCAGAAUCAAGCUUUGUCCAUAUCUUCCAUAUAUCUUCAGCAUCAUUCUCUGUCUCUCUCCAUUUCCUUAUCACCUUUAUCUUGCUGAGGCUGUCAUGCCUGUAUGCUAGACCCUCAAAGAGAGUACCCCCCCCACACACACACACACACAUUUCUUCCUGUGUGCAGCAAGCACACAAGGAUUGCAGGACCCUCAGAGCACCAGGGGUAAAAUCCCAGCUGAUUCCAGUUAAUACCAGAAAAAACAACAUCAGACGUGACGUGUCUGAUGAGCUAUUGUUUCGCUGGCACGGAGAGCGUAUCUAAAAUAUAUCCUGUGUCAUCUCCGUAAUGGAACAGGGGACAAAUCUCUCAGGUUUGUCAGUUUGCGGUUGGUUUAAAUAGGCCAGUGAAUAGCAAGAGAAAAGCUGAAAAUGGGUAAAGCAACCAAAAGGCAAUCGUGAUAGAUUUGGUCAAAUUGGAGCUGGGCAUGAAAAGGUAUGUGUCAUGCGUCAUGGAAGUUAAAUCUUCUCUCAGCGAAAAAAGUAUUCAAUGCUUAAUUCAAGUCCUUUAAGUGAAUGCUUGUUUGUCUUUGCUGUCCUGAAUGGUGCUUGAGAGCUUUUGGUUUCAACUGGAUGUCAAAGUUGUCUUGUAAAAAAUGCGCAUGUCAAAUUAAGUUAUCCACACAAGUGUUUUCUGAUCUUUAUAUUUAUGUAUGGAGAUCAUAUGUAUGCUUGGUUCAGGUUGAGCUACUGCGACCGAGCCUCAUGCCACGCUGGCACGAUGCGGCGCUGCAGAUGCAGGAGACGAUCCUUUUUUGAUCCUCUGACCAGAUCCAUAUAUGUCCGUUUCUUCUUGUGUGUGUCCGUUGUUGUUAGAGGAUUUCUAAGUCACAAAAAGGCACCAAAAGUUGAACACACUGAUUUUUAAAAAUCCUUUCCUGCUCCCCGGCACAGCUGAGCAUGCUGAGCCAAUCAAAUCAGUGCAAGACUCAUGACUCCUGACCCUUUGGUUUGGUGUGACCUGCUGAGAGACCGCAGUGCAGUACUCAAGGAAAACGUGGUUCAAAUCCAGGACAAAUAGCGGUGGAUAAAAGAAAAUAAAAUCUCUCUCUAAUCACCUCUAUUUAAUGCAAAAGCUUCAUGACAGCAAAAAUGCAAAUGAUCAAAAGCAGCAAUUAAUGCAGAUGCGUUUGGCUAAAGUGAACAGUGACCCCGUCGCAGUAUCGUAACUGUGUGACUAAUCAACCCGCUGGCUCCCUGAGUUAGGCGGUUGUAUAGUGCCAUUCCUCCUCUCCUCUAACCUACUCCCCCCCCACUGCCCGUCACCACGGGGGCCUCGGGGCCCGAAGUGGUGCACGAAUCCACAGGAGAGCUGUCAGGUGGUCCCGUGUCCCGCCCGGGGCAUGGAAGUGAGAGAGAGAGACAGAGAGGCCAGUGGGACGCUGCUACAGGUGAGUAAGUGAACAUGCUUCAUGGGUGGCCGACAGCGAGCGGAUCGAGACACGCUGGCACUCAUUUGUCUUUGAAAAAGAUUCAUCCGUCUCCUUUGGUUCGCCGCGUUUCCUCAAGAUGUGAGUGAUUGACGUGGGGUGGGGGGGGGGGUUGUUUCCGUGCUGCUCAGGCAUGACACACGCCAGUGAAACAAACGUCUGAUGUGGGGCUCUUUUGCUCAACCCAUAUUUAGUGCAAUGCACAGUGCGUUUUCUACCUUCAGGCAAACACGGCAGGAUACAAAAAUGUCCACUAUUUUGGUCUUGCGUGGACUUGUAAACUGCAUGAAAAACAUAUGUGGGGAAAAGUCUCAUCUGGUCUGUGACAAUGUUUCAUGGUCUCAGACAUGAUUGAAGUCAUUUUUCUUCUGGAUCACAGGAGACAAGAGUAAUGGGUAUUAUUUAAUGAGCCCAUGUCCCAGACAUGUCCAAGACAUUAGCCUUUUAAAUAUCCUGUGGCCUCCUGACAUUAAAAAAAAGUCUCAGAUGGACACCAGAUGUGUUCCUCUGGAUGUUCAUGUUAUCCUCCACAUGCAUGCACUGCUUUGCAGUGAACACUCUCUAAAUGUCUUUGUCUUGUUGCCUUUGGCAACCUUCUGCUCUCAUUGCUCGCUCCCCGGUGUUUCCGGUGGUGAGAACCGGUCACAUGCUGAGAAUCCCACCAGUCCGACACCACUGAGCUUCCACUCACCCACUGCGCUCAACGCGGUGCACCCGGGGAGAUGGUACUGUUUGAUGAGGCAGGGGAUACAGGCUGAGAUCCAAAGAGGGGGCAUUACUGUUGCACUGUGGCUCGACAAUUAUCCCCAAUUGUUAUACAGACCGUCAUUGGGUUUGGGCGACACACAAAUAUCUGCCUCUAGCUGUUGAAGGAAUAAGGGGGGCUGUAAAGGUGAAUCUCUCUUUUGUUUGUGUUGGUGUAGGAUUGAAACGUAUUUGACAAUCAACAGUUAUUUUCAAACAAAAGCGUUUUCAACGUAACACAGGGGCUGCAUGUUGGGGGCAGUGGGCCAUGUCCAAAUGGACUAAAAACCUUUCCCCUUUCAUUCUAGCGUUUUGACUGAACAACAAGUGAAUUCACAGCCCAUCGUGGACGACGGUUUAUGAUGCAAAUUAUUUGGUUGGAAAAAAAGUUGCUGAUUGGCACAAUGGCCCCUCAGGCAGCAGCACGCAUUUGAGACGCUGGCGAGAGACACGUCUCUAUCCGAUAGAUCUCUCUCUCUCAUUCUAUGCUAAAACAUCUCAGUGGAGGCCAUGCCUGCUUGGCCUCUCUGUCAGCAAAUGUCACUGCUAAUUAUGACAGGCUCCUUGUUCCCUAACAAGUCAGCGUUGGCGCUCCCAGGUCUGUCGGACUGGGUCCUACAGAUGAAUUGGGCUCUCAACGUCCCCGGUUCUCCGAGGGGUGCUGCACCAAGGUAAUUGCUCCAAUAUCCUGAGCUGCAGGCAUACAUAGUGCUGACAAGUUGGUAUUAGUCAAACAUGGCGGUUCAGAGGGCGGCUCCGCGUGCUUCUGGCCCGCUGGCCAGCAGGUGUGACAGUCCGGUGGGUAGACGUGUAACGCUGAUACUCAUCACACAGGAAUGGUUAGAUUUUGUAAUGUGAAUGAUGUCUUACGCGCCUUUGAUAGCGGAUCUCGUGCAAAAUUCUGAGACUGUCAGCUAUUCCAAAUCAAAAGUACUCCCCGAAGGCUUGAUUUGGGAAAUAAAACGAGCAUAUGGUCCCAUUUAACCUCUUGUAGUAUCAAAAACCAUGCAGAUGCAUUUUUGCUUUUAUUUACCCAGGUUUUAGGAUAGAUGUAUGCCACUGGGCUCUUGGCUACUUCCCCUUUAAAGUGGAGACGUAUACACAAUUGAUUGUGGUUAUAACCGCAUUGCAAAAUGUCCUUUCAUCAACAACACUGUUGCUAUUGAUAAUAAAACACGGGCAAACUAAGCAAAACAAUGGAGUUUUUUUUCCUUUUUGUAAUUUGGCAGAGACCGAAACGUUUUCAACAGAUGUUUUCAGUGAUUGUGUGAGAUGCUCAACAAAAGCUGCUUGUUCAACUUGUAUUAAUCGGCCCAAUUUGAGUGUCAUGCUGCAGUAAUGUAAGGUCAAAGCUCGCGAUUAAAUCAAAAGGGCGGUGUUUUUUUUGUGCCUGAUCCAUGUGUUCAGUGAGGUGAUGAGUCAGUCCCAACGCCGCCCCGCCUCGGGACUUGUGAUAGAUGUUACAUUUGGGGGAACCGGAUUGACCUCGGAUCACCCCGGAUCGUGUCAUCAGACAGGGCGCAGAAGGAUGACAUCAUGAUUCAUGAAGAACUGAAGAGAAAACUGAUGACAUCCCAACGCAGGUGUGUGAGCUGCCUAGAGUCGCUCUGCUGUGUCUUCAUCAUUCCAAGUUUCUCACUUUUUCUUUCAGAAGUGAUUACACUGAACAUGCUGACGAUUAUUCCCGCCCCAUAAUGAUGCGUGUGCGCCCGUAUUCUUUGUCAUGGGUUUAGGUGUGAACAAGCAUUCAGACAGGAAUCGGCGCUGCGGGUCAUCGUAACCACUUUACGCAGGUUUUGCCCUGAGCUUUCAUGAGUUCUUCAUACCAUUUUUAUUUAAAAAAAAACGUAAAAGUACAAAUCUCCGUCCCUGAGGACAUGAGGGAGGAUUACCGUGGCGUCGGCAUGGUGGCAUUCUCACGCUCACACAUUUAGAUUUAGGAAUGUAUGACUGACACAAUCGGGCCAAGAUUCCCUAAUAGGCACAAAUAAAACAACAUUAUUUUGUGCAAGUUGGAUGUUUGUAAUAACACCUCUGUAAAGAAAGGAGCACUUUGUAUGAAAAUGGAUGGCCCGUAGCUGGAAACAUUUCUGCAAAUGCAAUGUGCAUAACAAUUACCACCUCGCAAAUACCACAGGGCAAAUCUCUUUGUCAAUCGCCCGUCUCUGUGGCACUGCUAUUUCUCAUUAUCAGGUAUUCCUGUUGGGAGAAAAUGAUCUUAAUUUGAUCAGCGUCACAAGCCCUGGUGCAAAGCUGGGAUCUCGGCUUAUCCCUUUAUGUGCGUUAUUAUGAAUGUCCUGGUUAGAAAACUUUCCAUAAUGGCGGAGAAAAUUAGCAGGCUAAGCAUAUUCUAAUUCUAUUGUUGCCUCAUCAAUGAUGUAUAGCUGAGCUCCCUUUCCACAGAGCGACGCCCGCCAGAGGAUGAGAGAGACGGGAGGACAGACGCAGGGAAAGUACAGUUCGGAAAGAGAAGCAACUGUUAUUAAUAUGAGAUUAAUGUUCUUUGACUUGAACUGCCACACGACGCUAUUAUUCUGCUGCUUUGCCUUGAGCGAGACCGGCUAUUAGCUUUGUCCUGAGCACAUGCAUCCACAUUUCCUUUGGACAGAAGAGUCAUAAAGGGACGGUGAAACAUCAAUUUAUGCCUGGGACCUCAAAGAGAGACGAGAGGCCCCGUGCAGCCCGAACGACUGCUGCGCUGCACACUGCGGUCAGGAAUAUCAAAGGAUUUUCUACAUUCAUUGCCAUAAUGAAAGAGCAGCGAGAGUACAAAAGACAACUUGAUAGUUGCCCACCCUCUCUCCUCCCAGCUUUUUUCGUUGUGAUUGUAUUAGAGUAUUAUUCAGAGUUGAGGAUAGCCUCUCCAAAUUGAGGCCCUUAUUGCAGCAGCCUGCUGAAGCACCGUUCACAUUAGGGAAGGGACAAUGUGCUCAUAAUAUCUAUAUCAGCGGUGUCCUGUCUUAAUUCACUUUUAUUACAUCCAUUCAUAAUGCUCUCAUAAUGAUGAGAUGGAUCCAAGCCAAGGGAUUUUCAGAGUGUCACCUUUAUUAUCCCAUACUGUGAUUUGUCAUUUGCUCCUCUCCAGGUCCCUGUAAUGAGGAUAAGUUGGACUUCUCUGAAUUAGAUGUGAGGAUAAAACGCCGCCUCGCGAUGCACUCUUAAUCAUUAACCCUGCAUUUGCCCAUUGGAAGCAAUACACUUAAGGGUAGUAAAUGGAGAGAGUUUGGUUGGAAACGAGAAGAAAAGUACUCAAUACAGUUGUAGGUAGUGUAACCCCUUAAAUUGACGCGCACAGACUCACACAAGUACAAGUGUACGUGGUGAGUAUGCUGCACACGCGUGUACGUGCACAAAGUGAACACUUUGCAUCUCAGGGACGUUGGGAACAGCUGGAGCUGAUGCCGUUAGUGUGAUAAAAUGUUGCACGACAUAAUGCAUGGAACAUUAAGAGACAGACCACUUUGUUGCAGACCAAAUAAACAUUUCUACUGCUGGGCCUAUAGGGCUGUUUGUGGUUUUGGUCUCUGUGUGUGUAUAUAUGUGAGUCUUUGUUCAUUUAACGGGACAGAAUGGGGGAAAAAAGGGAAACUAUUACUGUGGAUGUUGGCUGCUGAAAAACUGUGUGCAGGUCAGGACAUAAAACCGCUGUUUUCACACCAGCGUUGGCUGAAAUAUAUUAUUGAUUCUUUGAUUCUUUAUCAGCUGGUACGUCCCAAACCUGUGGAGAAGCAUGCCACAUUUGGACAUUCACAUUCAUCCAAGGAAAUAUAUAUUUUUGGGGAUAUUUACAGUACUUUUCGAUGAAAGAUGAGACUGAUUGAUCUUUAACAUUACAGAUGUGUGGUAUGUACUGUAUAUGUACUAGAGGUUCCUACGUUGAGUCCGAUUUGGGGGAGAGGGAAAUGAAUUGCAGAAAUAGAAAUAAACUUGAAGUUUUACAAAUGUACUGUCAUGCCUGCACAGUAAAUAUCCCUACAGCUGGUAAACACAAAGACGGGACACUGGUGGAAACAGGUUCUGUUCCAGCCCUUCCAGUCAAGAAACACCGUGCCACAUAAUUCUCCUCCAAGCGUUGUUUUCUUUGUUCAAAUAAAACAAAUAGAAUGAUGUGUCAAUAUCUGAGCUCUAGAGGUGCUGGUGGGUGAUUUGUGUUUCCUUUGUACUGAGCCAAGCAUAUUGCCUCAAAUCUAAUGGCAUUACACUUUGGAAGAAUAUCAAAAGCAUAUAUCCUUUCUAUUUUCCAUUAUUAUUAUUUAUUUUUUCCAUCUACCUCCCACAUUGUAGUGCUAAGCACAUAUAUCCAACUUUUACAGAUAUACUCAUUUAAAACGUUGCGUAUUUUCACUAGAAAACCGAAGGCAACAUUGACAUUUUGUUUUUUUGUUCAGCCCCUUUUUACACAGUCUAUUCAAGACGCGAAUGUGGUGCCAUUAAAUUCCAUCUCCCUGUUCUGUUUUGAGGACGGGAUGGGUGGGGGCUGAGUUGUUUGGGCGUGAAGCCUGCAGCAGGGGUAGCAACAGAGCCGGCUUGACGUCUGUGUGUAGGGACAGCCUGCAUGGCGAUACAACACACACACACACACACACUAGAUGCUGCUUUUGUUGCCAUAAACAAAUGCAUGCUCUCUAAAAUCACACUGUGGGACAGAAUUAUGUCGGCGUCGUUUGGUUGAAAUUGCACUUUCUUGUUUCUUGUUCUCCUGGGUUUGUAUCUUUAUGGUUGAAAUGCACUAUCGUUGGAUAAAAGCGUCAGCUAAAUGACACGUAAUGUAAUGUUAAGUGUAAAAAAGCAGAGUGUAAUGUAGGAGCAGUAUUGCAGAAUCUCUGAAUGAAAGAGGUUUGCAUCCGGCCUUCUAGGAGCAGUGAGGUCUCUAACCCAAGAAACAAACACCUAAGGAAAGACGUUUAAUCAUAAUUAAAUCUAUUUAUUUAACUAAUCCAUAGUAAGUGAAUAUGCAAUAAAAUAAAGGAUGAGGUCUUUAUCCUCCUUAGUCUUUUCCUAGUACAUAAUGUAAAUUUCAAUGGCAUAAUCCAAUAGACCCCAUAAUGUAACUGAAAGUCUGUCACCUAUUUUUCCCCCCCUGCAAAAUGCCAACACUUAAACGCACCAUUUAUGAAUAUAUACAUUUGUAAAGAUAUACUGAGGCUAUUGGCCAUGUUCCCAUGUUGACUGCCUUCUGGGAGACAUAUAUUUCUCAAAAGCAUUGCAAUAGCAACACAAUUUAAAAAAAUAAAAAAAACACAUUGAUCAGUAUGAAAUAUGAGUGACAAGCUCUACGCUGAACCUGCUCAUGGGGUUUUAAACCAUGACAAAGGCCUUUCCCAAACUAUCCAUAGCUUACAUCAAGAGAGGCUGAAUCAGUCACACGGGUUCGGAUUUUUUUGUUUAAAUACAAGUCAUUUAAUUAUUUUGAUGAUUGACAGCACAUUUUGUCCUUGCGAGUACGCGUACGCACACAAAAGCGUUCACACGCAACGCGCUCUCUUCAUCGCUCUCUUCAUCGCUCUCUUCAUCGCUCUCUCUCUCUUUGUCUCUUGCGCCUGAAAGAAACGCAGGGCAGCCGUCGGCGCUGUAGGUCCCUGCUUUCUCUGCAUGAAUAGAAGGACCUUGGCUGUCUCGUUCAAGAACCUGAUUCAUCAUCCAAUAGGAAGCCCUUGUCCCUUACAUUGCUGUAUCUACUGCACCGAUGGCGUACUAAUGGCGACGUCGGGCCCCCCCGUCUGUUGUCCGUCAUUUGGAUUCAGGGCAGGGCCCGUCCCAGCAGAUACAUCCGAUUAGUCCCUCUCAUCGAUUUGUGCUGGCUCGUCAUGACUUAGUAAACCCAAGGUGUCUCUUCUAUGACAUGCUGUCUCCCUGUGAUUUAGUUUGCCAACGCUCUAAGUGCAUUGAGUGUGACAAUAAAAUCUUUAAUCUAAUAUGCAUUCUAAAGAGGGAGACAGCAGAGAAUUAAGAGCAAGUGAGGGAGCGGCACCGAGAAGGAAGGUAAUGUUCUCAAUGAGCUCUGAUGUAAUGAGAAAGGUUUUUGUCAAGUGAAUGAACGGAGAGACACUAGACACUGACGUUUGGAAUGCUACACUUGCAUUUACAGUAGAUCCCGACUGACCAAAUGAUGAGUAUUCUGAGGUGCCGCCAAGUGUUUAUUUCCCAACAACUUUUCGAGCCUUCUUGUAUUAAGGCAAAAUAUUAUUAUUAUCCUCUCAAAUUUCACGUCGGCGCUCUCAAGAGGUGGAAAGGUGUUUUCUGCUCGUAGGCUACGCAGCGUAAUCUGCGUCCGCAUAUGAAAGUCUGCGUGGGGAUCAAAAAGGGAGACGUGUUGACAUGAUUGUAUCCUAACACUUAACAGAUAUAUCAGAGAAAUGCUAUACCACGUUAUACUGUGCAUACCCGAGUAACGUAUUGUGAAAUUGAGCGAUACUUUAGAGAACUUUGAUUUUAAAGGUUUCCUGAGAGCAGUUUUAAUGUUUCCUUUGAAUGUUUUAUUAUUGUAUUAAAGGCAAGCCAUUAAACCUGUGCGGUGCCACUUUGUCUGCAUCCACUCAAUGAUUUAGUUUAUAUCUCCUCUAAUGUUAGGACGUCUGAUUGACUCAUUAGUGAAAUCCAAAUCCAAAGGAGUCAACGGAUCUCCAUUGAGGGAAGGCUAUUCGAUUAGUUUUAAUUAAUGCUUCGGCAAGUAGUGUGGCAUGUUUCGCUGCUGUCACACACCUCUAAUUGACUGAUAUUUGCAAGAGAACUGGUUCAAAGGACCCUAUUUGCUUUUCAUGUCUGUAAUUGCCUGUUGGCAUGCCUGACCCGCCGUGUUGACACUAGACACGCCGAGCCAAAUUUUCACAUCUUUUUAAUGAGUCGGUGUUACGAUGCUGUCUCUAAUUGUGCUGUUGGCAAAAGAACAAUAACAUUUACAAAAAAAAAAAAAAAAAAAGCCCACACCACCCAGCCAGCUAGUCAGUCAGUCAUUCAGCAGCCUUCCCAUCUCACCCUGCUGUGACCCCGGCUCUGCGAGCAUACAGAUUACAGUGUGAGAGAGGAGGAGAACCUCGGGCGUGAUGCCAGACACUUGUCAUUUUGGCCGGAAUCACUUCAAUACAUCAUAUUGAAGCUCCCGAUGAAGGCAGGUAGCCUUUAUCAAAAGGGCAUUACUAGAAUCACCAUGAAAAUGUACUCGUACGGUACAAUCAGUUAAACCAUUUUUCUUUUUUUUUUUUUAGGGAAAGUCAAGGCGAUGUCACCGGUAAAAUUGAAAAAAGAAUAUUUUUGUGCAUAAGAUGUGAAUGUUUACAAUUGCUGCAAGAGAAUAACAAAGGGAGCUUGAAUAACCAUAUUGUGUCUGUCCGUCCCAUUUUCAUGUCACUGGGAAAACACAUCAUCUCCACCCUGGUAGCUGAUGUUGGUAUUGUUUUCCUCCCCUCCUAAUGGUCAAAUAGAGAAAAGAAAAAUAAUACAACCAGAUUUAAAAAAAGACGUUGAGCCAUGUUUGCAGUGCUCUGCACAUGUGGACAAGGGUGAGAAAGGAAAAUAAGCCUGCAUGAGAAGUAAUCAAGGCGGCCCGCUAGGCCUGUGACAGCGGGUUAAGAGGAGGGGAUGGGGAGGGAAAGCUCUGUUUCCAUGCUUUAGAAAAUGAAAGCAGCUGGGGGUAUACGCUGUGCACUCUAUUCAGGCAUGUAUGCUCGUUCUCAAGUGAGUUUUGAAUGAGUGUGUGUGUGUGUGUGUGUGUGUGUGUGUGAGAGAGAGGGAGAUGGGACGCAGCAGGAGAGGAAUGCAGUCACGGCUGUAAAAGUGGGUGUGAAAACAGCCAUGUUCACUGACCUCCAAGCUGACCUCCCCACCAGUUCCCCCUGGUGUGUGUGUGUGUGUCCAAAAUCAAGCAUGAAUUAGUUUUGAGUAUGUGAUCAUAUUUGCCUGCGUUGCAACGUGUGUGUGUGUGUGUAUAGCCAGUGUGUAUUGGUACAUGUAAGUGAAUGGCCCUGAGUUUGCAAACAUCUGUGGGGAAGAGGUCAAGAGGAUUAUCUCAAAAUAUUAGCUGCUCUCUCCCCUCAUCCUCCCUCCUUCUGCCUUUCCUCUCCCUUUCCUCUCUCCUCCCGAAAAACAUCCAACAGCACCUGUUGCGCAGACAAACACACACAGACAAACACACAGACAGACACACAGGCAGACACACAGCAGACAUAGUGAAGAGUGUCUUCCAACAGUGUAAAUCUGCAGAAAUAUAGACUGGAUGUUUAACGUGCCUGUCACUGUAAACUCUCCCCAAGCUUUCAGCACAUUAUAUCCUUAUGAAUUUACGUUGCAGUUAUUAUCGUGAGGGAUUUCCCACCUGACUCUAUAGGCCCGCAGCUCAUUUUCUUAAAGGCAAUAAAUCAUCCUUUUGUGUAUCUGUCUAAUUUCAGCCGACAACAGACGCAGUUUCCCCCGGCGGACUUGGGUUUGUCCCCGAUUUCCAUCAGCGAUCCCGCCCGCUCGCCGCUGCGGGGCGUCCGGACUCCUGAACCCCGCGAACCGGCUGCAUGUCGCGUCUUUACACGGAGCCCAAGCGUGGCCGUCCUCUCUCGGUUGGAGGGAAGACUGGAUGUAACCAAUUUUGCAGUUGUAUUUCCUACAAUUGUACUUUAAAAAUGAGCAGAAGAUUGAUUUGGAGUAGGACAUAUUGGGGGAGAAAAAUAAUCGGGAAUGGAUAAAUCAUUAAAUCGGCGUAAAAACCCAAAUACAACAAAUGUUGUGAUUAUUUAUCAGUCCGUAUACUAUCUGAUAUUUUAUCUAAAAACAAAAAAAAAGCGAGGGAGUAAUUGGAGUCCGCUGUCCUUUGCGCUUCGCUGCGUUCGUUUGCAUGCGAUUCAAUUGCGCCAUGCGCGCUAAUCGCCCGGAUCUGUUUCUGAAAAGCGGUCCCUGUCCGGCGCACCUCCUCACCCCCCCUGUCCCCUUCCAGCUCUACCUCUCGGUAAUUGAAUUAGCUCGGUUUUGGGCGUGGGGGAGGGGCUUGUCUUUGUUCUAGUGACGCCCACCGAAAUGAUUUCAAACCAAUGGGACUAUCCCCCGCUCGGCCGUGACCAAACCCACUCCCUCAUUCGGCGUGCGGAGCUGCCUGCGUGCCCGUCUCAGCCCUCACCUUCCUGCGCGUCCCGGCGUCUUAAAAAAAAAAAGAAGACCAAACACAAGAACGAGGAAGAACGACACCAGCACGCGCAUGCGGGAAAACGCGAGAUUUGUCUUCUUUUUUUUCUUUCUUUAAAAAAAAUAAGAGAAGAAAAACCCGCAACCCCGCACGCCGCGCGAUGACUUAUGUAUGAGGACUCCAGUUUUGGGAUGCGGACAUCAACGAGCGUCUCCGCGGAGAGAAGCGCAUGAGAAAACCCAACGUGUCCGCUCUCCCCCUCCGACGAGCGAGAAGGACCCCUCCCCACCCCGGCCGCGACACCUCCGGCACACACCCGAGGAAAGGAUAACUGCCCCCUCGUAUUAAAGGCCGAAGGCGAAAGACGUCCCCGUCCGCCGGCUGACUGUAUGGCUUUAAAAAGUUGCAUGGAGAACAUGGACAUCUGACGUGCGCCCCCCGGCGUCAUUGGACACAUCGAGCGCCCCCCCCCCCCCUCCCCCCGCUCUCACUCUCUCUCUCUUCUCCAUCACACGGUGGACUGACUGUACUCCCCCCACACACACUCCUGCGCUUUGGCCGUGGAGUAAGAAGAAGUGUUCGGCAGUUGUCCUUUGCCCUGACACAGGCUCCGUCCAGCAGCGCGCCCUGCGUCCGCCCGAGCCGCGCCACAAGGCAGUGCCUGUUGUGCUGCGCAUUUGUUGUGUGAGUUAGGCGAGAGACAUAUUUUCUCCCAACUGACA